AGAGGAACUUCUUACCAAUACAACAGGACCAUCUUGCUUAGCCCUGUACAAGACCCAAAACCUGAAACACCAGAUUCAAGGAACUUCAAAAAAUCCAUCAGCAUUGCAAUCUAAUCUUUAUUAAUGUUUGCAAGCAACCUGACUUAUAUCAUCUAUGAAUCACAAGGAUAAUACAGUGACAAUGUACACGGCCAUCAGUAUCCAUGAUCGUUAAUGGAAAAGCUUGCAGAUAAUAAUUCUAAAACAUAAAACCUUCGAGCAUCAACUAAUUUGAUCCAAAUUCAAGCCUUCACUGCACAUCUUUCAAACUAAACCCCCAAUUUUUUUAUAAAUUAAAUUUCCACUUUCAAGGCGUAUCCAUGAAUUCUUUUUACAGAUAUGCUAAUUGAAAUUGCACCAAAUUCCCAAAUGUCUUGGCACAACAGAAUCACUAGAUAAACUAAAUCCAAUAAACGUCAGAUUGGUAACAAAUCAGGAUACCGAUUAAUUCAAACAAAAAGGAAAAAUAAAAAUUACCACAUAACGGCACACAAGCCUUUGCCGGUGACAACAUGCCAUCGCUUUGGAUGAUGCAAAGUUAGACCUUUGUAAGUUGUACUCUCUCCAUGGCCUCCUCCCAUCUCUCCCUGUAACCAAACCCUAAACACCAGAAAUGUUCCCAAGUGUUCGAAGGUGGAUUAAUCACUUGCCGGUUGCUUAGAUUUAAACCGAUCCUGAACCGUUGGAUGCGAAUUUGACCAACUGAAGGUGUGGUUCCCAUAUGUGCUGGUUUCUUUUCGUUGUACCAGGCCUUUUUCACGAAAUCGGCUAAGCCCAAGCCAUUGAUCCAUAAAUCUGAGAGUUGAUGUAUUACAGGGAUUAGAUGGUUGUAUUAUUAAAUGAAUCAAAUUAGUCCUAUAUUAUUAAAAAGUAUCAAAUAGAUUUAACAUUUAAUGUAUAAAAAAUGGUCUUUGAAAAUUAUUUUUUCAAUUGUAAUUUAAUUCUAAACAGAAUAUUUUAUUUACAAAACCAUAAAACUUUUAAAAAUAUUAGCUAUGCUGAAUAGUAAAUGAUACUUUUUUAAAAUAGUAUAUGUUAAAUCUAUUCUAAUUUAGUUUUAGUCAAUUUUUUAAUAGUAUAAGGACUAAAUUAAUUUAUUUAAUUAUAAAAAAUAUUAAUUUAAUCAGAUUUUUAUAAUAGAGGACCUCCCCAUUUCACUAAAGGAGAGGAAAACAAAAUUCAUUUCACCCCUUUCACUUGUAGUUUAGUUUAUUUAAUUCUUAAAAUUGUAGAUUGUUUUUUAAUAUUUAUUUAUUUUAAUUUUAAUAUAAUUUAUAUAUUUUAAAUUAUUAUUAAUUAGCACAAAAUAUAGUUUUAAUUAUUUAAUUUAGAUUUUUAUUAUAUUUUAAUUUUACUUACCAAAUAUAUACUUUUUAUUUUAUAUUUCAUUAAUUAAUAUACAUAUAUUUUUAAUGAUUUUAAAUUAUUUAUUAUAUAUAAACACAGUUUAAUUUAAAUAUCUUUAAUGGUUAUUUUCUAUUCUUGUCUCUAUUGUUAUGUUUUGAAUUUAAAUAUAGCUAUUGCCCUUGGUAAAUUUACCGAAGAUGAAAAUGAUUUAUUUGAUAUUAUGUAUGACUGGUUAUGUAGGGACCUUUUCGUUUUUGUAGGUUGGUCCGCCCUAUUGCUCUUUCCCUAUUCCUAUUUCGUUUUAGGGGGUUGGUUUAUAGGUACAACCUUUAUAACUUCAUGGUAUAUUCAUGGAUUGACCAGCUCCUAUUUGGAAGGUUGCAAUUUUUUAACCGCCGCAGUUUCUACCCCUGCUAGUAGUUUAGCACAUUCUUCGUUGUUACUAUGGGGUCCUAAAGCACAAGGAGAUUUUACUUUUUGGUGUCAAUUAGGUGGUCCGUGGACAUUUGUUGCUCUCCACAGUGCUUUCGAACUAAUAGUAUUUAUGUUACAUUAAUUUGCACUUGCGUGAUCUGUCCAAUUGCAACCUUAUAACGUAACUGCAUUCUCUGGUCCAACUACAUGCACAAUAUUUUGGAAUCUACAUCAUGUUUUUGAAAACGUAAGAAUUCAAAGUAUCUUGGUCCUUUCUUAUGAGUUGAUCCCGAAGGAAAUUAAUUAGAAAUUUUUUGGUAAAUCGUUAAUUUAUUUAAUAUUUAACUAUAUUUAUUUAUAAGUUUACUAGAUUGAAAUUUUAUGAUGUAUAAAAAUUUAUAGACCCCAUGUUACAUUCAGUAAAAAUUUAUGAUACAAGUAUUGGGUGUACUCAACGUGUCUAAGCCUGCUCCACCGAUGUGUUAGAAAUGAUUCCUUGCAAUGGAUGUAAAGCUAAGUAGAUUGCUUCCACAGUCUAACUACUUAAUUGAUUAAUUUCUUUACCACCACUAUUUUCAAUCUUAACAAAGUCAUUUCAUUGUCAUAUAAGUAGAAAAUGUAUGUAUUUUGAAUAUUGAUAGGUUGUAACACCCCUCACCAGUAUUCAAUGCCGGAAUAGGGUUACAGAGUAUUAUUGAACUUAUAAAACAAUUAAAAAUUCAUUUAGCAUACAUUUUCACAAUUCAUGCAUUCAUCAUUCAAUCUCAAUCAAUUUGUCCCUACUACGAGACUUCGAGGCCCUACCUUAUAUCCAAAGUACUAAUAUCAUGGCCCGAAGCCAAAUCAGUCGAUAUUCACGACCGGAAGCCAAAUCGGUAUAACUCGCACCCAAAGUACUAAUAUCAUGGCCCGAAGCCAACUCAAUGUAUCCCCUAAUGACAUGUCACUAGUAUCCUAAACUAUUCCUAAGGUUCAACUGGGAUUUCGAAUGCCGAAUUGCCAUUAAGUCAUGUCAAACUUAUCUGAAGUCUCGUAUUCAAAAUUUAUACAAUAUCAAGCAUUUAAAAUACACUUAUAAUGAAAUUUAUCACUUACGAACUUACCUCGAAUGUGAAAACGAUGAAAUAAGUCGAUUAGUCGAUAACUUUAGUUUUCCCCCGAUCUAGAUUUGAAUUCCGCUUUUCUUGAUCUAAAUAUAUUUAAAAUUAACUUAUUUAAUAAUAUCUCUAUUCAAUUUAAUCCAAAACACACAUUUAAGCAUGUUUACACAUUUUCCCCUAAUGUUUCACUACUUUUACAAUUUACUCCUUAUUUCAUAAAAUCACAAAUUAAUGAAAUUAAAAAUAAACCCAUGCUAGCCGAAUUACUAUUAUGCCUCUAGCAGCCCAUAUUUUUCAUUUAUUUCACAUUUUAACCACAAAGUUUCAGCAUUUCUCAAUUUAAUCCCUAUUUUGCAUUUUCACUAAAAAUCACUUAACAAAACUUGUAUAUUUCACAACAAACAUUCAUAAUCUAUCAUCAAACAUCAAAAAACUCAUGUAUUCAUCAAUGACAUCAUUCAAACUCUUUAACAAUUUUGCAAAAUAGCCCUGGGCUAGCUAGACCUAGUUGUAACGAACUCAAAAACAUAGAAAUCAUUAAAAACGAAAUAAAAAUGGACUUACAAUUGAGUAUCAAAGUAACCGAAAGUUUCAAGCCCUAAAAUGGGUUUUCUUCAUGCUUCAUUCGGCCAACGAAGAUGAUUAUAAAAUAAAUUUUUUUGUUUUAUUUAAUUAACCUUAAUUGAUAAAUUACUAAAUUAACUUUAAUGAUAAAACAUUUAUAUCAUCUAUUUCAUGUCCAUUAUGGACCACUUACUUUAAUAAUGGUCCAUUUAUCACUUAAGGACUUCCACAUUUAAUAUUCAUAGUCAUUUAGUGCAUUAAAAAAUAGAAUUCAACUUUUACACUUUACGCGAUUUAAUCAUUUUUACCAAAUUAAUCAAUCAAACGAUAAAAUUCCUUAACGAAAUUUUCAUACAACUAUAAUAUCAUGCCAUAGACAUUAAAAUGAUAAUAAAAUAAUUAUUUUAACCUCAGAUUUUUUGUCCCAAAACCAUUAUUCUGAUUUGACUAAAAACGGGUUGUUACAACUCUCUCCCUUAAGGAUUUUCGUCCCUAAAAAUCUUACCAGUGAAUACGUUAGGGUAUUAUUUUCUCAUAGCUUCCUCGAGCUCCCACGUAGCCUCUUCGACACCGUGACAUUGCCUCAAGACUUUCACUAAAGCUAUGCGUUUAUUUCUCAGCUCUUUAAUCUCUCGAGCCAAAAUUCUGAUCAGUUCUUCGUUGUAUGUCAUAUCGGGUUGAAUUUCGAUCUCUGACGGAGAAAUCACAUGUAAUGGAUCAGAUCUAUAUUGGCACAACAUCAAUACAUGAAACACGUUAUGGAUUUUCUCUAACUCAGUCAGUAAAGCUAGCCGAUAUGCCACUGGUCCUAUUCUUUCAAUGAUCUCAUAUGGUCUGGUGAAGCGUGGACUCAAUUUGCCUUUGUAACCAAAUCAUAGUAUUUUCUUCCACGGAGACAUUUUCAAAAUACUUUAUCACCGAUUUGAAAUUCAAUGUCUUUCCGUUUCAAAUCUGUGUACGAUUUCAUCGAUCUAAAGCUACUUUCAAACUGUCGCAGAUUACUUUCACUUUUUCUUCUGUUUCUCAGAUCAAUUCAACCUCGUGAAUCUUUUUCUUACUCAACUCUAUCAAAUACAAUGGAGUUCAGAAUUUGCGACCAUACAAAGCUUCAUAUGGUGCCAUUUUAAUACUUUAUUGAAAGCUGUUGUUAUACACGAAUUCAACCAACAACAAAUAUAUCUCUCAGUUGCUUUCGAACUCUAAAACACAACAGCGAAGCAUAUCUUUGAGAAUUUGAAUUACUCUCUUGGACUGACCGUUAGUUUAUGGAUGAAAUGCAGUACUAAAGUUUAACUUCGUACCCAGAGCUUCUUGCAAUUUCUUCCAAAAUCACAAUGUAAAUCUCAGAUCUCUAUCCGAAAUAAUCGAAAUUGGUACCCCGUGCAAUCUAACAAUCUCAGCAAUGUACAAUUUAGCUAAUCUAUCGAAUGAAUAGUCUAUACGUACUAGUAUAAAAUGCGUCGAUUUCAUCAAUCUAUCAACUAUAACCCAAACAACAUCUUUCUUUUUUAGAGUCAGGGGUAACCCCGAUACGAAAUCCAUCGUAACUUUAUUCCAUUUCCACUUAGGUAUCAUUACUGGUUGCAGUAGUCCCAAAGGCACUUGAUGUUUGGCUUUCACUUGUUGAUAGAUUAAACAUCUCGACACAAACUCUGAAAUAUCUCGUUUCAUGCCCGACUACCAAUAUAACUAUUUCAAAUCAUUGUACAUCUUAGUACUUCCAGGAUAAACGGAUAAAAAACCACUAUAUGCCUCGUGUAAAAUUUUCUGAAUCAACUCUGGAUUUUUCAAUACACAGAUUCUACCUAGGAACAUCAGACAAUCAUCGGCUCUAAUUUGGUACUCUAAAUCACUAGUUGACUCGCAUUGCAUUCUUUUAGCUUGCAAUUUACUAUCACAUUUCUAACCUUCGCAAAUUUGCUGAAGAAAUACUGGUUUAGCCUUUAACUCAGCUAAAAUCGAAACAUCAUCAGAUAACGUUAACUGAGUAUUUAUUAUUCUCAAAGCAAACAACGAUUUUCUACUCAAAGAAUCAACGACUAUAUUAACUUUUCCCGGAUGAUAAUUAAUUACUAAUUCAUAGUCUUUUAGUAGCUCAAGCCAUUUCCGUUGUCGCAAAUUUAAAUCUUUUUGAGUUAUAAUAUACUUUAAACUUUUAUGAUCAGUGAAGAUGUGCCAUUUUUCACUGUACAAAUGAUGACACAAAAUUUUCAAUGUGAAAAAAAUAGCAGCCAACUCUAAAUCGUGCGUCGGGUAAUUCUUUUUAUACGGUUUCAACUGUCUCGAGACAUAAGCUAUCACUUUUCCCUCUUGCAUCAACACACAACCUAACUCGUUUAAUGACUUGUCACUAUAAAUCACAAACUCUUUACCCGACUCAGGUUGAACCAAAACUGGUGCUUUGGUUAGCAAUUCUUUCAAUUGUUCAAAACUCUUUUGUCAUUUUUUAGACCACUCAAAUUUUACAUCUUUUAGUAGUAACCUGGUCAUCGGUGUAACAAUCAUUGAGAACCCUUUUACAAAACAUCGAUAGUAACCAGCUAACCCCAAAAAGCUUCUGACUUCGGAUACAUUUCCCGGUGGUUUCCAAUCAACAACUGCUGAAAUCUUACUCGAAUCAACUUUUAUACCUUCCGCGGAAACAAUGUGCCCCAAAAAAUUUGACUUCUCUGAGCCAAAACUCACAUUUGCUGAAUUUAGCAAAUAGUUAAUUGUCUCUUAAAGUUUGCAACACAAUCCUCAAAUGCUUGGCAUGCUCAGACUUAUCUCGAGAAUAGAUCAGAAUGUCGCCAAUGAAUACAACAACAAAUCUAUCUAAAUACGAUUUAAAGAUCCUAUUCAUCAAAUCCAUAAAGACUGCAGGAGUAUUAGUUAAUCCAAAAGGCAUAACAAGGAAUUCAUAAUGUCCAUACCUCAUUCUAAAUGCAGUUUUCGACACAUCUAAGUCUUUAACUCUCAACUAAUAAUAACCCAAUCUCAAAUCAAUCUUCGAAAACACUAUUGCCUCUUUUAACUGGUCAAAAAAAUCAUCAAUUCUCGGCAAAUGAUACUUGUUCUUUAUCUUAACCUUAUUGAGCUAUCGAUAGUCAAUACACAUUCUCAUUGAUCCAUCUUUUUUCUUUAUGAACAAUACUGGCGCACCUAAGGUAAAAAACUAGGUCGUGCAAAACCUCUAUCUGUUAACUCUUGCAACUGAGAUUUCAACUCUUUCAAUUCUAUCAGAACCAUUUUGUACUGAGCUAUGGAUAUCGGUGAAGUUCCUAGUACUAACUCGAUAGCAAACUCAACCUCUCUGAUCGGUGGUAAUCUAGGAAAAUCUUCUGGAAACACAUCCAGAAACUUACAAACUAUCGACACUGAUUCAAUCUUCGAUUCAGACACUCUUGUAUCCAGUAUAUAAGCAAGAUAAGCUUCACAACCUUUUCUCACAUAUCUCUAAGCUGACACAGACAAAAUCACAGCAGGCAAUCCAUUCGAUUCAUCUUAUUCAAUUCGAAGAAUUUCACUGUUCUGACAUUUCAAUUCAAUGAUUUUCUGUUUACAAUUCACAAUGACAUCAUGCAGAGUCAACCAAUCCAUUCCCAGAAUCACAUCGAACUCAUCAAACAGAAAAAGCAUCAAUUCAACCGGAAAACAGUAACCUCGAGUCAUUAAAGGACAGUUCUUGCAUAUUUUAAUCAACUAGAACAUACUUGCCUAAGGGAUUCGAUAUUUUAAUCACAAAUUUAGUAGACUCAACAGGCAAACUCUUACUAAACACUAAAUUCAUACAAAUAUACAAAUGAGUCAAUCUAGGAUCAAUCAAUGCAGUUACAUUAGUGUUAUAAAGAGAAAAUGUAUCGAUGAUAACAUCAGAUGAUGACGCUUCUUUGCGAGCGCGAAUAACGUAAGCUCUAGUUGCUACUCUAGUAUCGGAUCUCACAGCUGAAUCUCUAGUUACAUCUUUUCCACUAGACACAUUCCCCAUAUUUCUCGGGGGCCUCCAUCUCGCAGUCGUACUGCUCGGUCUUAUAUUCUGAAAUUUAUCUCUCUCAGAUAACUCUGGGCAAUCUUGAAUAAAAUGAUCUGGCGAUCCACGUAUGAAACAAGCUUUAUUACUUUUAUUCCAGCAUUCUCCAAAAUGUCGUCUCCCACAAUGUUGACACUCAGGUUGAUUGUUUCUUAUACUGCCAACGCUUGAGAUGGAAGUUGCUUGAGCUUUAGGACUCACAUAUUGUAACAGCCUGGUUUUAGCUAAAUCGGAAUAGUGGUUUUGAGACCAUAUAUACGAGGUCAAAAAAUUAUUUUAAUAUUAUUUUUUGUGUUUAUAUAAUGUGAUUAUAUAUGUGUGAAAAUUUCGUGAGCUAAUUUUAUCGUUUAAUAACUCAAUUUGAGAAAAAUGACUAAAUCGCGUAAAAUGCAAAAGUGAUAUUUUAUAUGUUAAAUGUGUUUAAUUGCUAUGGUUGAUUAAAUGUGAGGUUCUUAUGUUGAUAUUAGACUAUUUAUAGUGGAAUUUUACAUAAAUGGUCAUUAAUUGAAUGUUUUAAAUGGUUUUUAAUUACGACUAAUUUGGUAAUUUGGUUAUUAACGUUAAUAUUAAUAAAACAAAUAAAAAAUAAACCUUAUUAUCAUCUUCCACCACUAAUUAAUGAAGAAUGAGAAGUUUUUUUUGGUGUUUUAGGUUUUGGCUAGCAUAUAACUUGAUUAAGGUAUGUUUUGAGCUCGGUUUUUGACGAUUUCUAUGUUUUGUAAUCGUUGCUUUGUGUUCUAGCUAGCCCUUACCCUAAUUUUUGAAUUUUUUAAUGAUUUUGUAAAAUUCCAUUGAUGAUCUCUUGAGUUUUUUGAAUGUUGAUGAUGGAAAAUGAAUAAUUGUUGAUAGAUUUUAAUGUUUUGUAAAGUGAUUUUUGACAAAAAUGUCAAAUAAGGAUUAAAUUGUGAAAUUUGCAAAUUGAAGAGUUGAAAUAUGAAAUAAAUGAAAGUUUUGGGCUGCUAAGGGUCCCUAUGAAAUUCGGCUAGCAUGUAAUUGGAUUUAAUUGUGGGAAUUUUAUGUAUUUUUUAAAUAGAGACUAAAUUGUAAGAAAUGUGAAAGUUUAGGGUCAAAGUGCAAAUUGGCUAAAAUAUGUGUUUGUGGAUGAAAUUGAUUGAGUUGAUGAUUAAAUGGGUUAAUUUUGAAUACAAAUAGAUUAAGAAAGAAAGAAUUCGAAUUUAGAUCUAGGAAAAUUGAAGUUUAUUGAGUAAUCGAUCCGAUUCGUCAAUUCUAAGUAGGAGGUAAGUUCGUAUGUGGCAAUUUCAUUUUAAAUGCAUGUUAAAUUCUUUGACAUCGCAUAAACUAUGAUAAUGAGAUUACAGAUAGUGUUGAAUAGUGAAAAUGACUCUACGAAUGCAUUCGAUGAUAGAAACGAGAGGUGUGAAAGCUCGGUUGAACCUUAGGAAUAGAAUUGGAUAUUUGUGAAAUGUUAUAAGUUGAUUUGGCUUCGAGCCAUGCAUAUCAGAUGAGUUGGCUUCACGCCACGAUAUCGGCACUUCAGGUGCAAAUAAUACCUUGAUUUGGCUAUGGGCUAUGGUAUAGCUACUCUGAGAUAAGUUACCUUGAUUUGGUUAUGGGCCAUGGUAUAGGUACUUAUUGAUUGAUAUCUGAGUAUCUGACUUUUAAUCCAAAUGGUUCAACAGGUAAUGAAUGAUGUAGUUGAGAAAAAGGUUAGUACGAGGUGGUAUAGCUACGUACGGAACUUAUUCAAAUAUUACAUUGAGAAAGUUCAAUGAGAUUAUAUUGGAUCAUGUUUAAGACAUGACAAAGGUUUGUAGUUAAUGUGAUUUUGAUUUGGUAAUGUGAAAAUGGUUGAAUUACAUUUAUUUGAUAAAUUGAGUUAAUCACUUACGAGCUUACUAAGCUAUGAAGCUUACUAUGUGUUAUUUGUCUAUGUUUUAUAGAUUAUCGAAGCUAGCUUGGACUCGGGGAUCGUCGGGAAACGUCAUUACACUAUUGAACAUUUUGUUGGUACUUUUGAAGCUUAGUAUAUAUGGUAUAUGACAUGUAUUGGCUAGUGUCAUUAUGGUACAUUUUGUGUAAUGAAAUUCUAGCCAUGUGAUUUGGCUUGUAUUUGGUAAAGUUGUGGGAUGUGAAUUUUACUUAUUGAAUGUGUUUAUAUAUGCUAUGUAAUGUGAAUGGUAUGCCUUGUCAAUUUAGCCUAGUAUGGUAUGAGAAUAAGGUAUUGAAUUGGUGGUAUUUUGAAAUUUGAAUUAGAUGAUAAGAUGAUGAGUAAAUGCAUUUGGAACUUAUGUAAGUUUUAAUGAUUUUGGCAUAAUGAUUUGGUAUGUUUUGAAUAUGAAAUUUAGUAGUUGAAAUGAUUGAGGAUAGUUUGCAUGAAUUGGCAUAUUUUGUCUACCUAUAAAUGUAAUGAAAUAGGACUAUUUUGGUUGCUAGGUGUGCAUGAGAAAAGGGUGGCAAAUUGGCUUGGCAAAUGGCCUAUUUUUGUCCACACUGGCAGAGACACGGGCGUGUGUCUCAGCCAUGUGCAACACACAGUCACGUUACACGGCCGUAUGUCCCCUAGGUUCCCUUUCGAAUUAAGUCAAUAUACCCUACAGGUUUAGCACGGCCUAGACACACGGGCUGGCACAUGGGCAUGUGGUUGACCGUGUGACACAAGUCAGUAACCCCUCUAAUUUUCCCACUGUCAUGGCACACGGGCGUGUCCGGCCGUAUGAUGCUAGUCAGUAUGUAUGCCCUAUUUUCACACAGCCUAUGACACGAGCGUGUCUGGUGGCUGUGUGAGGCACAUGGCCUGUUCACACGGGCGUGUAACUCUUAAAUGCAAGAAAAUUUUCUAUGUUUCCUGAAGUUUGCUAAUGUUAUUAGUUUCAUCCCGAACUUCUUUUAAGCAUGUUUUAAGGUCUCGUAGGGCCUUAUAAGGGACAAUGUGAAUGUGUUGAAUGAAAUUUUAUUAUGAAUGCAUAUAUGUAUGAUUUAUGUUGUAAUAGAUAGGUAAUGCCUCGUAACCCUAUUCCGGCUAUGGAUACGGGUUAAGGGUGUUACACAUGUUGAUUUCCACGAUCUCUAUUAUGGUAUCCCACAGAUGCAUUUGAUCGACUAUACGAAUCUCGAGAUUUCUUUGAUGAAGAAUGAUAAGGUUUAUUCGUCGGUCUUUUUCUCGAAUAUCUAGCCCAUGAAUCAGCUUUCAUCUUUUCUAGGCUAAAGCCUUUGGCUUUACAAGCCUGGUCAACUAGUACAACAAAUUCUUUCAAAUCUAAAAUCCCGACCAGAAGUUUAAUGUCUUCAUUCAAACCGUUAACAAACCGCUUGCACAUGAUCUCUUCGGUAGAAACAUACUCUCGAGCAUAUUUACUCAACCGCACAAAUUCUAAAAACUCUUUGUGUUUUUUAUCUAGAAACUGUUGGCUUAUAUAUUUCUUCCUAAACUCAGUUUGAAAGAAUUCUCAGGUGACUCGUUCUCUAGGUACCACAUAUACUAAUGUAUUCUACCAUUGAUACACGACAUCUCUCAAUAAUGAAAUGGCACACUUUAAACUCUUAGCUGGAGUACAUAACAGUUCAUCACAUACCCGAAUAGUGUUUUCAAGCCAAAAUUCAACUCUCUCGGGAUCGUCAUCCACGGUAGCUCUUAACUUCUCAGCCCUGUACUUACGGAUUUUAUCAACUGGAGGCUUAUUUAAUCGUGGAAAUUCCACAACUUAAGGGGCUAUAGGGAUCGGUUGAGGAUUAGGUUAGGGUGGAGGUUGUUGAGCAGCAGGAUUUGUCCGGACAUACUGUGUGAACCUUUCGUUCAUCAUUUGGAAGAAGGCUUCUUUAGCCUCUCCUCCUUGGCUACCCGAUACGAGUCUAGAUUCUGAAGACACUGUCCCUCGAGCGGGAGCUGGCGCAUUACUUUUAACCUCAUCAACUACAACUCGAUUAAGAUCCAUUUACUAUACGAAAACACAUUUUAAAAUGUCAGGAGUCAUCACGCUAUCACAAUUUAUAUAUGGCAUGUAUAGCUAAACUCUCACAUACACUACGUUAGUCCUAGAAUCGACUAAACCGUAACUCUGAUACCAAUAAAUGUAACACCCAUCACCCGUAUUCAAUGCCGAGAUAGGGCUACAAAGUAUUACCGAACUUAUAAAAUAAUUAAAAAUUCAUUUAGCAUAUAUUUUCACAAUUUAUGCAUUCAUAAUUAAAUCUCAAUCAAUUUAUCCCUAAUACGAGCCUUCGAGGCCCUAAACAUGCUUUGGGAAUGGUUCGAGACUAAACCAAUAACUUAAGAAACUUUCAUGAAACCUAGAAAAUUUUUCUCAAAACAGAAGACACACGCCCGUGUGGUCCGCCCGUGUGUCUCACACGGCCACCAGACACGCCCGUGUCACAAGUCGUGUGGACAUUCGAAAUGGAAGCACAUGGCCGUGUCCCAGCCCAUGUCUGACCCCGUGUAACUCUCUAACUUGGGUCACAUGGCCAAUACACACGUCCGUGUGCCUUAAAAAUGACCAUACACGCCCGUGUGCCAGCCUGUGUGCUAGGCGGUGUAAUAGCCCAAAUUUCAACGAUGUCGGAAAUAGUGGUUCGAGACCACCAAAUCCAAAAAAUGAACUCAUAGAUUAUAUUAUUUAAUAUUUAUGAGCCAAAUGUAGCUUUUAAAAUAUUUUUGAAAUAGUAAAUUAUAUUUUAUAAAGAUUUAUUUGGUCAAGAAAUUGAUAAAAAAAAUUAUCGAGAUCUCGGUGUUAUAAACCAAGCCAUAAAUAUUUUUAUAAAUAUUUAAAGAGUGUCAAUAAGGUAGUAUUAAAAUUUUGUUAGAAAAUUUUGACAUUUGGGUGAUUAGUUAAAUAAAAAGGACUAAAUUGAAAAAAAGUGUAAAAGUUGCUAGAAGGAUUAAAUAGCUCAAUUGUCAAAUGAGGAAGGACCUAAAGUGCAAAUAAUCCCAAAGGAGAUAUUUUGGCCAGCAAUAGCUGAGAAAAAUCAGGAAAUGGGUGAAAUAAGGGCAAAAUUGGAAAAUUGACAAAAUUAGCUAAAUAAAAAUGGGACCAAAUUGGAAUAUCUAGAAUUCUCUUCAUUUUCUCUUCAUUUUCAUCAGCUGAAAAAUAGCCAUGAAAGAGGGUUCAAGUUGGUUUUCAUACUCUAACUUCAUGUAAGUUUAAUUCUUACUUUCUCCUUGAAAUUUCUAAGAUUUUGGACUUUUACAAUUGGGUCCAACUUACUAUGUCAUUAGUUUUUGAUUCCAUGGCUAAUUUUUAAAGUUGCUAUGGAUGAGUGCUAGAAGCGAUGAUGAAUAAAUAUAGAAUUGAAGCUUUAAUUUUGAUAUAUGAUGAUUUUAUCAAGUAAAAUUGAUGGAAAUUGAUUUUAAGACCUAAUUAUGAAAGAGUUUGGAAUUAAGGUCUAGUGCUAAAGUUCUAAUUUUCAGGGGUUAUGAAGUAGUUUAAAAUGAUAGACUAAAGUAUUAAUUGAUAAAAAUUAGCUCAAUUUAGGGGUUAAUUGAGCAAGGACUGAAUUGUAUGAACUGUAAAAUUUGGGGUAAAAUGGAAAUCAACAUUUUGCAUUAAAAUUGUUUUGGACAGCAGCAAUAGUCUAAUUUUGAAAAAUCACCAAAAAUUGUAAAAAUCGAAUGAGAGAAUGAAUAAAUAUGAAAUUAAAGCUUAUUGAGCCUAGUUUCUUAUAGAAGAAAUGAUGUAAGCAAUGGGAUUGUAAAUCAUGAGAUAUAAUAAAUUUUGUGAGAUAAGGUCAGAAUGAUUUUGGGUUCCUCUAUUCUGACUUUGGAAAAUCAUCAAAAAUUGAAAAAGAAAAUUAGGGCUUAAGUUCAUAUUUUUAUAAUCCUGAAUGAGUUUAUUUUCAAGAAAAACAAACAGGAAAAGUAUUCGAAUCUUGUACAAGGAGAUAACUAAUUUUUAGUGAAGAAGGGUCGGAACUAUCAGACAGUAGAAUAGGGGUGAUUUUAAAGAAUAAAAUGUACUUAUUGGCUAAACCAAAAAUUCUAAAAAAAAUUUGGUAAUAAGAUAUGCAAGUCUAGUUUCAGGGAAAAUUAGCGGAUCUUAAUUUGGAGCUCUAUAGCUCAAGUUAAAAAUAAUUUAGUGACUAUGACACGGAUGGACAGCUUUGGAAUAUAAAUAUAAGUAAAUAGUGAAAUUAUAGAUAAUGUUACUUAUAAGCGUGUUAUAUACAUUAAGGAUGUGGAAUGGAGAGGAGGAGGAGGAAAAUAUGUGAGUGACUUAUGCAUAAAUCAAUUACAUGCUCGAUUAUAUUUGGUAAAUGUUAAACUUUCUUAAAAUGAAAAAUGUUAUAAAUUCAUGUUUGAAUUAAAUGUUAUAAAUGUUAAAGAAUAAUUUGAAUAUUUGAUAUUGCCUAAUAAAUGAAUAUCCGAUAUUGCUUAGUAAAUGUUAAGCCAAAUAUAAAAAAAAAUAUGUUAUAAGUGAAACAUGUGUGAAAGAAUGUGGUAAGUAUUUUCAUGGUUAUUAUUGAGCUCAUUCACAUGAAUCUGUCAUUUGAAAUUGUGAUAGACAGGAAGAAAUAGUGAAUGGCAUGCUUAUGUAUGGUUAUAUGUAUUUAUCUAAAACACAAGAAAAUGAUGGCUAUAUUUUUUAUAUAUGGAGACAGGAGACAUGAGACUAUGAUAUAUGAACAUGGAAUAUAUUUUAUAAAUGUGUUCAUUCAUAAUUAUAGAAUCCUGCAACUCAAGUGUACUAUUUGUAUAAUGAUAGUAUUUCAAAUGAUUUGAUGAGUAAAGCUCCAAUGUGAGAUAGUCUGAAAUCAAGACAAAUUGUUAUGAAAGUGUAUUUAAAAUACAUAGAUAUGAUUGUUAUAAGUUAUGUGAGUAAAUGAUGUGUAAAAGUAUAUGCAUAUGAGAAAUUUAAUGAAAGUUGAGCCCAUACAUGUUUCUUGAUAUUUAUAUGAAUUAUAUGACUAACAAUGUGAUAAGAAUAGGCAUUAGGGCUCAUGAUCAAUUCGAAUAAUUAUGCUUUGCAUAAUUAUGUUGAAUAUAGAGAAGCGAUAAGUUAAUUACCAUGUUAUACGAAUUUAUUAAAUAUUACAUGUUUACUUUGUUUUACUUUUUCCCCUAAUUAAUAAUGAUUCGAUAAGCUCCGAUAAUGCCUCGUACCCUAUUUCAAUGACGGAUACGGGUAGGGGGUUCUAUAGGCCGUGCCAAACCUGUAGGGUAUACUAACUUAUGCCACACGGCCAAGUCACACACCCGUGUGUGAGGCCAUAUGGAGCAUACUAACUUGAUUUUAAUUUCAACACCAGGGAACACAUGGCCGUGUAACAUAACCGUGCGUCACACACGGCUGAGACACACAUCCAUGUCUCUGCCCGUGUGGACAAAAAAAUAGGGCAUUUACCAAGCCAAUUUGCCACCCAAAUUUAUGCAUUCCUACAUCAAACCAAUUGGUACCAAUACAAGACAUAAAUAAGCAUUCAAUCUACUUCAACCAAGCAUCAUUUAUUCCAUUUCAAUAUAAACAAUUACAAGAUUUACCAUACCACAAUAUACAAUUCAAAUACAUAUCAAAUUUUACCCUUUUCAUUCAUCAAUAUGGUCUUUUUCAAACAUGUAUCAAAUUAUCUAAACUUGUAAGCAUACUAAUUACCAAUUCAUCAACCAUUUGAUAUUCACCAUAUCCAUUUUCAACAAGCACCAAAUACCAUCAUAACUAACAUUUAUAAGGAAAUUACUAAACUCAAACAAAGGCUAUUUGCACACUUAUAUACAUUAUCAAAUUCACCAUUAUAAGCCAACUCACAUGAUUAUAUAUUUACAUACCAAACCUAAUAUUUACAAGCCAACACAAAUGGCCAAAAGAUAUAUACUAAAAAUACCAAGUCCCUAUACAUGCCAUAUACUUAAAAUACCAAAGUUCAUAGGUACCAAGUGAUAUAUGGAUAGUGUGAAGCGGACUCCGAUGAAUCUCCGAAUCCGAGCUAGCUUUGAAUUCACUAUAAAACACGGGAAAAAUAAACAAAGUAAGCUAUAAAGCUUAGUAAGCUCUUAUGAAAUAAACUUGAUAUAAUCAUAUCCGCAUAAUCCAACAAUUGAUAAUAGAUACAUGAAUUUACAUCAACUAACAAACCUUUCAAUUACUCAUUUACAAAACUAUAUACUUUCUUCACCAUUUCUUCGAUUCAAAGCUAAUAUGGUUUAUGCACAUACUUUUACCAUCUUGUACCAAUCUCAUUCUCACCCACAUCAUUCAUUUACCCAUUGAACCAUUCAGAAUAGAAGUCGGAUACUCAGGAGUCUUACACAAUAAGUACCUAUACCAUGACCCGAAGCCAAAUUAAGGUAACUUAUAUCCGAAGUACUGAUAUCAUGGCCCAAAGCCAAAUCAGCCAAUAUUCAUGGCCCAAAGCCAAAUUGGUAUAACUCGCACCCGAAGUGCUAAUAUCAAGGCCCGAAGCCAACUCAAUGUAUCCCCUAAUGACAUGUCACUAGUAUCCUAAACUAUUCUUAAGGUUCAACUGAGAUUUCGAAUGCCGAAUUACCAUCAAGUCAUUGUUGAACUUAUCCGAAAUCUCAUAUUCAAAAUUUAUACAAUAUCAAGCAUUUAAAAUGCACUUAUAAUGAAAUUUAUCACAUACGAACUUACCUCGGAUGUGAAAACAACGAAAUAAGUCGAUUAGUUGAUAACUUUAUUUUUCCCCAAUUCUAGAUCCGAAUUCAGCUUUUCUUGAUCUAAAGAUAUUCAAAAUUAAAUUAUUUAAUAAUAUCUCUAUUUAAUUUAAUCCAAAACACACAUUUAAGCACAUUUACACAUUUUCCCAUAAUGUUUCACCACUUUUACAAUUUAGUCAUUAUUUCAUAAAAUCACAAAUAGUGAAAUUAAAAUAAACCCAUGCUAACUGAAUUACUAUCAUGCCUCUAGUAGCCCAUAUUUUUAUUUAUUUCACAUUUCAACCACAACGUUUCAGCAUUUCUCAAUUUAAUCCCUAUUUUGCAUUUUCACUAAAAAUCAUUUAACAAAACUUGCAUAUUUCACAACAAACAUUCAUAAUCUAUCAUCAAACAUCAAAACACUCAUUGUAACACCCCAAACCUAGCCUAGAUGUUAUGGCCGAAUCUGGCAAUGUCACAUGGAAUGGGAUUCGAAAAUGAGUUUGUCGAGUUAAGCCGUUCCAGUUAAUUAACUUGUUAUGACUAAAAUCGUAUCUUUUUAGCGGAAGCUUUGGUAACGUUUAUUUUUUUGAAAAAUUGUUUGGGUUGAAAGAAACCUUUGUUUUAAGAAAAAUCGAGUUUUUACUGUCUAGCCAUACUAAAAUCGUAAAGCAGUUUAAAAAAUCCAAAAUUCAAAACCCAAUAGUCCAAAAUCCCAAAAUUACACAAGAAAUACCCAAAAUAAUGUGUAUUCUGAAAACUGAAUCAAAGCAGUACGAAACAAUGGUGGUCGCCGUCGAGUCUUCUGCCGCAUCGAUCCAUCUAAGACUGGGGAUUACCUGUACAUAUUAACUGAAAUCGGGUGAGUUUUCGUAAACUCAGUGUGCAAUUCCCACAGAAAAUAUAUAUACAGAUACACAUAAGAAUACAGUCAAGUUCAGUAUGGGCCUGAGCCCAUUUUAGGUUCAGUUUGGGCCUUAGCCCAGUCAGUUACAGUUUCAGAUAUAAAUUAGGGCCUUUGCCCAUCUUAGAUACAGUAUGCAGUAACAGAAAUCAGAGUCCUACCCACCAGCCUUUACACACCAUCUCCGUCCAUCCCUACACACCAUGUGGGGUUAAAAACACUCACUCAUCCCUACACACCAUGCUGUACCGAAAUGCGGCACAUAUUCAGUAAUUUGUAACUGAGCUGCCAGAUAACAGGCUUGAAAGCCUUUCGAACACUUCCUCUAAAUAUCAUCAACCUACCCCGAUGCAAUGCAACAAACAAUAAAUGACAUGCUAAUAUGCGAUUAUUAGUACAUACAUUCAAUUUAGAAUACAUGCUUAGUAUUAUCAGGCUCAGUACAGAUAUCAUACAGAUAAUUUAUAUAUAUAAGGGUCUAAGGAUUGCUUACCGACCCUACAUUAGGUUCACAGUCGACUUGGGCGACCUGUGCAACCUUAGAAACUUUUCAGUUAAAAUGGGCUCACACGCCUAGGUAGCCUGCCCGUGUGGGCCCACACGCCCGUGUGGCCUAUACGGCCCAAAUUGGCCUUGGUCGUGUAGAUCACAUAGUCUGGCCCAUAAUCCCACAUGCCCGUGUGGACUAUCCAUGUAGGCCGACACGCUCGUGUGGCCCACACGGCCCAAAUCAGUCUAGUCCGUUUGUCGCACACGGCCUAUCUGGCCAUUACACGACCGUGUCUGUUGUGCACGGCCUGUCCUCGUUGAUCACACACCCGUGCUAUAGCACACGGCCUACCACACAACCUACCACACGGCCAUGUGACAUCGAUAGAAUGGUUUUUAGCUUUCGUCAAAACCUCGUUUUCUGUGUUUUCGGGUACACACCUGGUUUGUUUUCGACGCGUAAGCUGUUCGAAGCCUCCAGAACCUAAAAAUGGACCAACGUAACACUUAAUUAAACACUUGUUUCGCCAUUCAAUUAAAAAUCUAUCAAAACCUAUCAUCGACAAUAUAAAUAACCCUUUGUAACACCCUAGACCCGGCCUAGACGUUAUGGCCGAAUCUGAUGAUGUCAUGUGGUAGUGCUUUUCGAUAAAUAUGUUGUUGCUAAAUCUCCUUUUUCAUUUUCUUAUGUUAAUUUCAAAUCAUGUCGUUCGAUUUCCAAACAUUAAUCAUUUGUAAUUCGAUAGUCAAUUUCCAAAACGUUUUUCAUUACAGAAGCUUUUAAACAGUUUGCGUAUUCGUGGUAUUUUUUAUAAAACAUCAUUUUCAUUUGAAAACUCGAGUUUUAUCUAACACUAGCAGAUAUGAAUCAUUAAACCGUAUAAAUCCAAAUUUAAACCAAAAUCCAUAAAAGCCAUAAUUACAGUAAAAUACUCCCAAAUAAAAGUAAAAUCAUGAAUAGAUAAUAAAAUAGGGUAAAAGAAGUCGUGUGGCCACCACUGAGUCCUCCGCUGCACCAACCCGCCUAUAUUUGGGGAUUUCCUGUACGGAUUAAACAUAAGGGGUGAGUUUACGUAAACUCAGUAUGUAGUCCCCAUACAAAUGAACAGACAGUAACCAUAUAAUCACAGUCUGGGCUUAAGCCUUUUUCAGUAUCAGUAUCAGACCAGUUUGGGCCUUAGCCCAUCUCAGUACAAAAAUGGUCAUGCAGUAGGGCUUCAACCCAUCACAGUAUCAGUAGCAGUAACAAAUAUGCAGUCAUAGAAAUCCUACCAAUCCAGCCUCUACACACCAUCUUCGUCCAAUCCUACACUCCAUGUGGGGAUAUAAUCAACCCACCCAUCCCUACACUCCAACUAGCACCGAAUGCAACACUAGACAGUAGUUUGCAGCUGUGCUGCCAGUAAAUUAGGCUCGAAGCCUUUCAGUACACUUCCUCCGAAUAAUAUUAACCCCCAACCCAAUAGAAUGUAAUAUAUAAAUAUGACAUGCUAUAACAUAAUAUCAUGAAUGUAAUCAAGGCAUACAGUAUCAAAUCAGUGGGACAUCAUCAUACUUUUUCCAUAUUAGUCAUAUAGUCAUUUCAGUUAAUUAGGGGUUUAGGUAAUGCUUACCGACCCUACAGUAAGUUCACAAUUGACUUGGGCUACCCGUGCAACCUUAGGAAACAUCUCGGCAAAAUGGGCUCACGCGCUCAUGUGGCUUGCCCGUGUGGGCCUACACGCAUGUGUAGCCCACACGGCCCAAAUUGGCCUUGGCUGUGUGGAUCAGACGGCCUGGCCAAUAUCCCACACGCCCGUGUGGGCCCACAUGCCCUUGUGGCCCACACGACCCAAUUUAGUUGAGCCCGUGUGUUGCACACGGCCUACCUGGCCAUCAUACGAUCUUGUUUGGUGCGCACAGCCUGGCCUAGUCGACCACACGCCCGUAUUACAGCACACAGCCUACUACACAGCCUAUCACACGGCUGUGUGGCGUUGACAGAAUAGUUUUUGACUUUCGUCGAAACCUCGUUUUCUGAGUUUUCGGGUACACACCUGGUAUCGAAUUGAUGCAAUAGCACUCCUAUAAAGACCAGCACCCUACAACGUUAUAACAACUUCUAAAAUCAGUCACAAAUCUCGAUUAAACUAAAACCUCGAAAACGAAAAUAGCCCAAAUAGGGCGUUUAUCAUUUACCCUAAACACUCCGAUUGAUUCCCACUAAAGUUCCACCAAAGAGGAGCUCCGACCUUCGUGAAUCAUUGCUGCCAAAAUCCAGAAUUAAACUAAUGAAAAUCAAUGACACAAUAACGAUAUAAAAAGAAAAUCCCCCCUUAAAACGAGUAAAACCUUACCCACACUACCGAAGCACAGGCAGUUGGAAAGCCGGAAAACUGGAGUUGAACAACACCAGAAAGAUGAAGAAAUAAAGAAAAGGAAGAGACAGACGCCCGGGAGGCUGCGAAUUUUUAGUAGAGAGAGAAAAAGAAUUAGCAAAAGAACAAUCAAGGGAUAUUCCCUCAAUCCCUUAAUCCUCUUCACUACCCACAGAACAGAUAACUUCCACAGAAUUUUGGUUUAACAGAAACUCUCACCGCAACACUGGGCAAAAAUAAACCCCCUUGCAGAUAUUCGAACUCAAGACCUCCAGCUCACCAAAAUUUCCCCCUAACCACCAGACCAGUAGGGCCAUUCUAAUAUAAUAUUACAAGCAUUUUAAAUAAAAGCCUACUGAACAAAGUUAAGGCUUUACUCAGAAAAAUCCAAAAUUUUUCCAAAGACAAGACUUGAACUUAAGACCUCUCACAUACACCCAGAACAUUUAACCACUAAAGUAGAUACACAAUUGUGUCACAAACACACAGAAAUAAAUAUACAAACUUUAGGGUGUUACACCCUUAUCGUUAACAAACCGAAGUCGCAACUCUUAAUUCUUUGUAGCAACACCGAUCAAAUAUUGCCCCUCGCCUAAACCAGGAGUAACAAAACAAUUUUUCAUCAAUCAUCAAGUCGAAUAACAAAAAGACUUAUAAAAAAACAGAACUUACUGAACGAGGCAGUCAAUGUUUGCACAAAACUAACUAGUUGAAUCCAGAAAAAGAAUCGAAAAGAAGGUUUUCUGCAGUGAAUUUCCUUUGGGAAAACAUUUUUACUCAAAUCCCUAGAUUCACUUAACCACUCACCCACUACUUAGAAUUCCUGUUUGACCGAAACUCUCUCGGUCAAACGAGCAAAAAUAAACUCCUAUGCUCAAGCAGGGAAUUAAACUCCAAACCCCCAACACACCAACACAUAUCUUAACCACCAGACCAGCAGGCCCAUUCUGAUAUAGUUUAAUAAAUAAUUCAACAUAAGCCUGUUGAGCUAGCACAAGGCUUAAGUUAGAAAAAUACCAAAAUUUGCUAAAGGCAUGGCUUGAACUUGAGACCUCACACACACAUACCCAGAACAUUUAACCAUUGAAGCAGAUACUCAAUUGUAUCACAAAUUCACAAAAAAACAAAAAUAAGAAUUUUGGGGCGUUACACUCAUGUAUUCAUUAAUGGCAUUAUUCAAAAUCUUUAACAGUUUUGCAAAAUAGUCCCUAGGCUAGCUAGACCUAAUUGCAACUAUCUCAAAAACAUAGAAAUCAUUAAAAACGAAAUAAAAACGUACUUACAAUUGAGUAUCAAAGUAACCAAAAGUUUCAAGCCCUAAAAUGGCUUUUCUUCGUGCUUCAUUCGGCCAAGGAAGACAAUAAUGAAAUAAUUUUUUAUUUUGUUUUAUUUAAUUAACCUUAAUUGACAAAUUACUAAAUUAACCUUAAUGAUAAAACAUUUAUUAUAUCAUCCAUUUCAUGUCCAUUAAUGACCGCUUACUUUAAUAAUGGUCCAUUUAUCACUUAAGGACCUUCACAUUUAAUAUUCAUAGUCAUUUAGAGUAUUAGCAAAUAGAAUUCAACUUUUACGCUUUCCGCGAUUUAGUCUUUUUUACCGAAUUAAUUAUUCAAACGAUAAAAUUCCUUAACAAAAUUUUCACACAACUAUACUAUCAUGCCAUAGACGUUAAAAUAAUAAUAAAAUAGUUAUUUUAGCCUCAGAUUUGUGGUCCCGAAACCAUUGUUCUGAUUUGACUAAAAACAGACUGUUACAUAGGUAAAUCAAAGUAGAUGAGAAAUAUGGAGUCAAAUCAAGGAUGAAUUUAUAACUUUUAUAACUUUUCUUCAAAAUUUAACAAAAAGUAAAUAAAAAUAAUAUUUUUUUACUCCUAAAUUAAACAAUUAGAUUCACUUUGGUACUUUUAUCUUUUACAUCCAUUUUGAUAUCUAAAUUUAACAAUUAAAUAUAUUUCAAACUCUAACAGGGAAAACAUAAGAACACUAAAAUGGGUUCACUGUCUUCACUCCUAGACCUAAGAUUAUUUGUAUUCAAACGGUUAAUCAAACUGAAUUAGUAUUAACCAAAUUAACCAAACUUUUUAAUCAUUUAACCAUUAAUUGUACCAAUUUUUUUUCAAAAAAAUUAACCAUACCGAAAUAUUUCGGGUAAUUCAAUUGGUUAACUGAAAUUUAUGUUUUUUUUUGUUAAAACAAGUAUAAAAACAUAUCAAAAUAAAUAAAUUAAUAAUGUUCAUUUGACCGAAUUAACCGAAUUAGUAAGAGAUUGAUACAUAUAAUAUAUAAUAUUAUUUAUUAAGUUCGGUUAAUCACUCGAUUUCAAAUCGAAUUAACCGUUAACCGAAAUUUUAAAAAACUUUUAAUUACCUUUCAACAAAACUAAAUCGAUUAACUGAAUUAAAUCGGUUCAGUCAAUUAAUUCGAUUUUAAUCGAAAUUUGUAAACUAGAGAUUGAUAUAUUUGAUUAGGGAUGAGCAUUCGAUCGAGUUGAGUCGAAUCGAGUCAAAAAAUUUUGAGUUAGUCGAGUUGACGAAUCCUAUUUUAGCAACCGAAUUCAAUUUGAAUUUUUUUUCAAAUCAGAUCGAAUCGAGUCAAAAAAUUUCGAGUCGAGUUAACGAAUCUUAUUAUUUGUACUCAAUGUUGCGCUUUACAUGAACCGAUUAUUUAAAUAGGAAACGAAGUAUAAAAUUAUUUAACAACAUAAACAAUAUAAUGGUUUUGCAUUUUAACUUAAUUAGUAAACAUUUAUCAAAACAACAUAGUUUUACCUUUUUAAUUUAAUGGUUUUGACUUUUAACUUUAGAAAGGUAAACAUUCAUCAAAAUGACGUAGUUUUGCUUUUUUUUAUACGGAUUUUUGAAUAACUCGAAUUGUGUAAUUCACAUUCGAAUUAAACUAAAAAACUUUUUUUAUUCGAGUUGACCUAAAUAACUUGAUUAACUCAAAUAACUUAAAAUAUUUAAUUCAAAAUUUAAAAAUUUUAUCAAAUUUUUCGAAUCGAAUUAAAUUUUUCUCACUUCUAUAUUUGAUUGUGCAAGUCCAAAGGGUUGAAUAAAAGAAUCGGGACAUCUUUAUUGCUGAUGAUAAAAAAUUGGAAAUAGGGUGUGCGUGGCAAACAUUGCCCUGACGUAUAGAAUUAUUAUUUAAUAUGCCCUGACGUAUAGAAUUAUUAUUUAACAUCGCUUUUGUCAGCUUUAUGGAUAAUUUUUUCAAACCCAAAAAUACUGAAAUAAUGGAAAAUAAUUGCACCAAAUCCACUUAGAAAAUGCAUUAAUUGCUAAAGCUGUCAUAUGUACUCAAGGGGAAGAUCUUAAUACUAAAAUUUUUCAUAAUAUUAUUUUUUGAUAUAAUUUUUUAUUUAUAUAAUUAAUAUCAAUUUUUAUAAUAUUUAAAUUUAUAAAAAAAUUAUAUAAAUUUAAUUUUAAAAAAACUUAAUACUAACUUAUAUCCCUUUUAUAACUAUUUUAAUAUUGACAACUUUAUAAAAAACAAAGUGUAUAAAAGAUUAUUAGUUUUGUUAUACAUUUUAUAAUACAAUUAUUAUUAUGCUAAUAUUGCAAUAAAUGAUACCGUGUCAUUUUAAUUAAAGUAAAUAUCUAUUUUCAACAUAUUACAUAUGUUAAUUAAUUAUUAGUUUUAUUUUUUAAAAUUAAACUAAUAAUAAUAUUUUGAAAUAACUAUUUAGAGUAGAUAUUAAAUUAUUAAAGUAAACACGUAUUUUCAACAUUAAUAUAUUAUAUAAAAUAAAUAAUGUCAUAAAUAUAUGUGAAUUUUCAUGUAAAUUGUUACAUAAUAUUAUUAAAAAAAUUAAAUUUUCGUUAAUAUUAUCAUUAGAAAAAAUAAUUUAACUUAUUUUUUAAAGAUUGAUGAUAAAAUUUAACUAGAAUAAUAACAAAAUCAUAAUAAAUGUUAUUAAUAGCGGAAUUUGACAUUAUGCUAGGGAUACCACAAUAGGCAGCUUGCAAGUGAUCACAGGGUACUGCUCUUAAUCUACAUAAAAAUGCGAGAAAGGAAGUAGCAGAGGAAGAAGGUUAGUGAGAGAGAAUAAAACCCCAAACCAUUAUUAUGGCUGAAAUUAGCAGCUUAAGAAUCGAUCCCAAGAGUGGGUUUUGUUCUUCCAAUUCUACUUUCUACAGCAAACGCGUUCCCUUUCCACUUCCAUCCAACCAUGCCCUUGACAUCACCACUUUUAUCUCCUCUUACCCUCACCAUGGCAAAACCGCCUUCAUCGACGCCACUACCGGUCGCCACCUCUCCUUUUCCCAACUUUGGCAAUCAGUUGACUCCGUUUCCACAUGUCUGUCCGAAUUGGGUAUUCGGAAAGGAAACAUCGUCAUCAUCAUCGCACCAAACUCCAUUUUCAUACCCAUUGUUUGCCUCUCUGUGAUGUCUCUUGGAGCUAUUAUAACCACUAGCAACCCCCUCAACACGUCUCGUGAAUUCGCGGUACAAAUGGCUGAUUCAAAGCCCGUCCUCGUCUUCACCACUUCUCAAGUCGUCCCAAAAUUGGCUGGAUCACCUCUCCCCAUCGUACUUCUCGACGAGCAAGUGGCGACCGAAAAAACAGGCCAAGUCAAAAUAGUUACUACUAUUAGUGAAAUGUUAAAGAAGGAAACAAAGGACAAGAUCCGAGUGAGGGAUCGAGUGUACCAAGAUGACGCGGCAACUCUACUCUAUUCCUCGGGCACGACGGGUGCCAGCAAGGGAGUAAUAUCAUCUCACGGAAACCUCAUGGCUCUAAUGCAAAGUUUUUCACAUUUGAGCAAUCCAGACGAAGGGGAGCAAACCCAUAUCUGCGCCGUUCCCAUGUUCCACAUCUACGGCUUCGGAGCUUUUGCCAUCGGGAAACUCACGCAAGGAUCAAAAGUAGUUGUUUUAUCAAAGUUCGACAUGAAGGAAAUGCUGUCGGCAAUAGAGAAGUACCGUGUCACUUGCCUCCCCCUGGUGCCACCUAUACUCUUGGUAAUGGUGAAGGAAGCUGAUGAGAUACGAAAGAAGUACGAUUUGAGUUCGUUGCAAUCAAUAGUGUGCGGUGGCGCUCCGUUGAGCAAGGAUUUGAUAAAUAGGUUUAUGGAAAAGUUUCCAAGCAUUGAUAUUCGGCAAGGGUACGCGAUGACAGAAUCGACAGGAUUUGGCGCAUCAAUGCAAACGCCGGGGGAGUGUCUCAAGUAUGGCAGUGUAGGGUUGCUAUCGCCGAACUUGGAAGCCAAAAUUGUAGACCCUACAACUGGUACGGCCUUGAAGGUCAAUCAGAAAGGGGAGCUUUGGCUAAGGGGUCCCUCCAUUAUGAAAGGUACGUAAUUUAUGAUCAAUCAAUUUUAGGUGGAGACAGUGAGUGUGUCCCCAUAUUGCGUGUAUUCAAGACAAGUCCAAAUAAUUUUAUCAAAUGCAAAGAUCUUUGCUUUGAUUUUGUUUUCGGCAUGUUGUUAAUUUUUAAUCCCAGGAGAAAGAUCUUUGCAAUUAAGAAGAAUAAACAAGAUUUGCCUGGCGAGUCCCCGGGAAAGAAUAACACGAAAUCCACUUAAAAAAUGCAUUGCUGUUACAUCUAAUUAUGUAUUUUUCUAAUAUUGAUAAUUAUUUUAUUGAAUGUAUAUAUUUUGCUGACUAUUUAACCAUUUCAAUUUCAACUAUGGGAGUAAAUUAUUAAUAUUAAAAUUACAAAAUAAUUAUUUCAUUAUUUUUAAAAUGUUCAUAACCCCCUUAAAAUACCGUUUGAAACACAUGUAUAAUAUAUUUAAUAUCCACGUAAUUAUCAAAUGGUAUUUUAUAGAUUUUUAAAAUUUAAUAAUUAAAAUGUGAAUUUAUUAAUAAUUUAGUCACCUAAUUUGUAUUACUUCACUUAUAUUUAAUGAAAUUGAAUCCAAGUAGACUGAAAUUUCAAUUUAUCAAGAUAACAUAAGAAAAAUAUGGGAUUAUCCAAAGUUUAAACAUUAUGAGCUCAAGGGAAAGUUGUUGAAUCAUAUAUUCUAAUUUAGUAAUGAAAUCUUACAUCCCUAUCCAGAGCUUCCUAAAUUUUAUACUAACAAAAAAAUCAUAAUUUUUCUUAAUCUAAGCCCCCAAUCAGUAAUGAACUCUAAACUUAUAUAGUAGGAUUGAUAUAUGUAAUAUUUUAACAUGAAAUUUGGAUAUCCUGAAAAGUUAGAGAUGUGUGUUGUUGAUUGGUGGGCCUGCUGCUGCUGCUGCUGGUAUUUUAGGUUAUCUGAAUAAUGCAGAAGCCACAGCAGCUACUCUCGAUUCACAAGGAUGGUUAAAAACCGGUGAUCUUUGCUACAUCGAUGAUGAUGGCUACGUCUAUGUUGUUGAUAGGUUGAAGGAGCUGAUCAAAUACAAGGGAUAUCAGGUCACCGCAUAGUUCACAAUUUGCUUCAUAUAUUCUAUACAAAAUCACAGGUUAACCAUUUACACUUACAGGCUUUAUUUAUAUUUGUUUUAGGUUCCUCCUGCUGAAUUGGAGGCAUUGUUACUUUCUCACCCACAGAUUUCUGAUGCUGCUGUCAUACCGUAAGUUUAUAUAGAGCUGCUUCCACUUGAAACACCCUUUGUUGCACAAGAUUCAGAGAUAUUAUUUGGUUUGCGAUUAGGUUUCCGGAUGAAGAGGUUGGGCAGUAUCCCAUGGCGUAUGUGGUUAGAAAAAGUGGAAGCAAUAUAUCAGACACUGCACUCAUGGAUUUUGUAGCAAAACAAGUAAGCAAUUAUAUACAUACAUACAUACAUAUAAUAGUGUUUUAAACCCAAGAUUGCGAAUGGGUAUGAUGAUUUAGCUUAAGCUAUGAAAUGAACAAAAUAGGUUGCACCAUACAAGAGAAUUCGGAAAGUGGCAUUUGUAACUUCAAUACCCAAGAAUCCAUCUGGGAAGAUUCUAAGAAGGGAUAUCAUCAAGCUUGCAAUUUCCAAAAUUUGAGGGCAUCUCGUUUGCAGCUCUAUAAUAAUAAUAAUAAUAAGAUGAUGAAUGCAUUUCCAAAGUAAAGUUUCACUUCUUUGAUUGUUUCGGAGAUGGGAGUUUUUCAUUUCUCAUGUCUGGUUCAUCAAUGUGGUUCUCAAUAAUUUCAUUUUUAAAAUUUAAAUUUGUGUUGUCCUAAUAAAAGUUACAAUAUACUGUAUCAGCACUUAAUAUUUGUUGUUGUCUGGAAUAAAUUUUAAGUGGGACAAUGAUUGAUCUGAUAAAUUUGUUUAGCGUUAUCAUUGCUAUUCCCGUCUGUCCAAGGCAUUCAUUCGGCUUUAUGCUUUUUGUUUGAUCUGAUAAAUUACAUUAAAAAUAUUUUUGAUUGAUAUAAUAAUAUUUAGCUCCUAAAAUUAAGAUAUUCUAUCAAUAUAGUUUCAAUUUAAUAGAUUUAAUUUCGACAUUUAAUAAUAUAUAUUAAGGGUUAAAUUUGUUAAAUUUUUUAGAAUCAAGAUCAAAUUGACAAAAUAUGUAAAUAUUAAGGGUUAAAUAUGUUUAUAUACCAAUCAAAUUUGUGUACAAUUAACGAAAUAUAUUUACAAUAUAAUUGAUUACCUUUAAUUGCUCACUUUUAAAAUUGAUAAAGAUUAAAAUACUCCAAUCUUUUUAAAAAGAACUAAUUUACUUAAUUUUAAAAAUAAGAGGUAUUGGAAAGGUAUUUUUACCAAGAAAUUAUAGAGAUGUUGUUUAAAAUUUUUUAUGUUAUAGUUAUUCAAAAUUGCAUUCAAUUUCUAAGCCUCUUCUAUUUGUAUCCCUUAUUAUCAGAAAACAAAAUCCUUGCAUUAUGAUAAUGGCAUGAUUGGUACUCGGCCAUUUCGAAUUAUUUAGUUUCUCUAUCACAACACUGUGCUUCUUUUUAAUAAUAUAUUUUUAUAAUUUCAAAAUAUAUAUUUAUUAGUUAAUGAAAAUUGGUGUAAUUUAUAAUAAAAAAUUCAUUAAUUUUAAAAAAUAAUGGAAAGAAUAAAAUAAUAUUAAUAUGCUAUCAUAAUAAUUAAUAUUAUCACACUAAUUGUAACAUCCCUACCCGUAUCUGUCACCAGAACAGGGUACGAGGCAUUACUGGAGUUACAAAUUUAUUUAUCAGACAUUUUAUUUCAUCUAACAUUCAUAGUUGGGACCAAUCAAAAUCAAACAUAUUGCCCCCUAAACAUACUUAUUUUCCUUGUAUCAACGUAUAAAAAAUAAUCACAUAUUUACAUGUCAUGAUAAAUAUCAUUCUCUUGCCGUUUCUUCAUAAACAUAAAUCAGUUAAUUCAUUAUAUCAAUAUUUCAUGUACCAUCAACUCGUAUUUCCUUAUAUCACAUAAUUAGGUUUCAUGAACUUAUCUGGCUAAAUUGCAAAAAUACCAAGAUUCAGGGGCAUUUCGAUAAUUUUAUAUUUUCCUCGAUUUUUCAACCAAUCUUGACCUAAAUUAAUAAUUUCAUUCAAUUUAUAAAUUUAGACAAUAAAAUAAUUCAUUUCACUCAAUUUGGUCAUUUUUGAUAUUUUUACAAAAUUGACCCUAAAGUUUUACUUUUAUUCAAUUUAGUCCCGAGCCUAAAACAUGCAAUUUAACCACUUUAAUGUAACCCAUGAUAACUAAAUAUUCAUAUAUAUUUUCCUCCUCCUCUCCAUUCCACAUCCUUAAUAUAUAUAAUUCCACUAUUUUCUCAUAUGUUCAUAUCAAGCUGUCCACUUGAGUCAUAGUCACUAAAUUAUUUAUAUCUUGAGAUACAAAAUUCUAAAUUAAUAACCGCUUGAUGUUUCUGAAACUAGACUCAAAUAUAUUUCUACCAUAAAAAUUUCAGAAUUUAUAAUUUAGCCAGUAAGUACGGUAAAAUCUUCAAACUUACCCCUAUUCUACUGUUUAACAGCUUCGACCUUUCCUUACUAAAAAUUAAUUAUCUUUUAGUACAAAAUUUGGAUGAUGUUUCCGUUUGUUUCUAUUGAAAAUAGACUCAUUAAAUAUUUAAACAUAUAAAUUUAAUCCCCUAAUUAUUUUUAUCCAAUUUUUUUUAUGAUUUUCCAAAGUCAAAACAGAGGAACCAGAAAUUAUUCUGACCUUGUUUCAUAAAAUUUAUUAUAUCUCACAAUUUACAAUUCCAUUGCUUACACGUUUCUUCUAUGAAAAACUAGACUCAAUAAACUUUAAUUCCAUAUUUUAUUCAACCUCCAAUUUGAUUUCCACAAUUUUUGGUGAUUUUUUAAAGUUUAACUACUGCUGCUGUCCAAAACUGUUUUAGUGCAACAUAUUGAUUACUAAGUUUAUAACACUCUUAUUUCCAUUCUCUACAAUAUUUCCCACCAUUUUCUCUUAUUUCCUUUCACUAAUAUAUCAAGAACAUAGAACCUUAUAUAAGAAAACUUUACCUUAACAUUAUUUUCAUGCUUUUGAUAUUACCUUACAUGAGAAACUCUACUUAAAAAAUAUUGAUGAAGUCUUAAAGUUUUUACCUUGUCCUAUUGAUUUUAAUCUUUAAUUUGAUUUUUCUCUCUCCUCCAACUUCUAUUUCUUGAAUCCAACUUGAUAUUCUAACUCCCCUUAGUCUCCUUAACAUUUUUAUCUCUUGGUAGCUAUGGAAAUUCUUUUGAUUUCUAGGUGAAAAUGGUAAAUUUUUGGUGGAAGGACUAAUUUGUAAAGAAAGCAAAACUUUCUUUCUUCUCUUCUCUUCUAACGUGAAAUGCAUGGAAAGAUGAUGGAUGGUGUGUGUGGGGGGAAAUUUACUAAAAAAAUCCCUUUUAUUUCGUUAUUUACCAAGAUGGCCCGACUUUUUGAUUAUUUGCUGGAAAUGACCAUUUUCCCUAAAAGCGCGUUCACGUCAGUGCGAAGUCAGGGGACGUGUCAGCAAAACGCUCUCCCAGGGAAGCGUUUUGCCCCCAAGGGUCACAUGACCGUUUGAACUCCAAACUCCAACAGUCAAAAAAAAAUAUAAAAGGCCCCUCCCCCUUUCAUUUUUUCACACAAUAGUCCUUUCACAAUUCUCUUUAAAUUCUUUCUAAAUUCUCUCAAAUUUCUCUCCAAUUUCAUCAAAGCUGUCUCUAAUUUUUGCAAAAAAGCUUUGUUAAAAUUUAUUUUAAAGUAGUUUUAUUUUAUAGAUUACAAAAAUAUCCGAUCGUAUUAGCAAUGGCCGGAGAAUUAAUUUGUUUCGAUACGAAACAAAUUUCCGUCGAUCAAAUGACAAUGGUAAGUGAUAAGUUUAAUUAAUUUUUGAAUAGUAUUUAAUUUUUUUCAUUUAUGUAAUUUUAAUUAAUAUUUAUUUUAUAAUUUUUUUAUAACAGUCUGUAGAUCGGGUGUUGCAAUGCUAUAUCCGUAAUAUGUCUGGUCCUCCAUCGCCAUUGAUAGAGAAUUACCUGCGGGAAGCGGGUUUUUGGCACGUGGCCACGAUAGGCCGGGGGUGUAAGUUGGACUCGAAACUAAUCAGUGCAUUGAUAGAGAGGUGGAGACCCGAGACACACACUUUUCAUCUUCCAUGUUGAGAGUGUACUAUCACUCUAGAAGACGUGCAAUUGCAAUUGGGAUUGCCGGUCGAUGGAUACGAAGUCACUGGGUCCACUCAAUCUGCUGAUUGGGGGGCCAUAUUCUAUGAGCUUUUGGGUGCUAUUUCGGAUAAUAUUAAUAGAGGUAGGAUCGAGAUGGGCUGGUUACGAGACACAUUUUCGGAGCCGGAUAAUGAUUCGUCUGAAUUAGAAAGAAUACGAUAUGCUUGGGCAUACAUUCUUGAGAUGAUUGGAGGUUAUCUGAUGCAGGACUUGUCACGAAAUCACGUACAUCUGAGAUGGCUGUUGAAACUCGUUGAUUUUAGAGCAGUAGGUGAAUUAAGUUGGGGGUCUGCUGUGUUAGCAACAUUGUACCGGGAGAUGUGCGGGGCGACACGACCGAAUAAAGCCAAAAUCAGAGGAUGCCUAUCACUACUGCAAUCAUGAGCACGGUUUCGCUUUCCAUUUUUACGUCCUCGAGUGAACCACCCAUAUACAUUCCCACUAAUUGUAACAGCCCGAUUUUGGGCAUAGUCGGAACAGUGGUUUUGGGACCACUAUUUCGAGGCCAGAGAAAAUUAUUUUAGUAUUAUUUUAUGUGUUAUAAUAUAAUUUUAUAAGUGCAUGUAAAUUUUGGUAAGUUAAUUUUAGCGAUUUCUAGUCCAAUUUCGAAAAAAGACUAAAUCGCGUAAAAGGUAAAAGUUGUAUUUUAGUGCCUAAAGGUGUUAAUAGACUAGAGAACUAAAAUUGGAGGCCUUUAAAGGGCAAUUGGACCCUUUUAAUAAAAUAAAAAUAGGAUGAUAUCAUCCCUUUUUCAUCUUCUCUCCACCGAUUUUUCCAGCCAAGAAAUGGGUUUUGAAAGCUUCAUAUUUUCAGCAACUUUGAGGCUUAGCAAGUAAAUGAUUUUAAUGUCUUUCUUGAAGAUUUUUACAUUUUUGUAACCCCUAAAGCAUGAGCUUUCAUAAGAGGGGACUAUUGUGCAAAAUGAUGAAGAGUCUAGGGUUUUGCCAUAAGAGUAAAUGUGUGGUUUGUUGUGUUUUUAUGGAAGAUUAUGAGUUCUAGUUGUCUAAUAAACAACUUUUGUGAAAGAAAUUGCAUGAAAACACCCUAAAAAGGGCUAGAUUGCUAAGUUGUAAAAGGAGUUAUAAAUAUGUGAAAUAGUUGAAAUUAUGAGUUGCUAUAGUUAUGAAAAUGGUUCAUCUAGACUCAAGGAGUAAAGAAAUGUGAUAAAAAUUAUUUUACGAGCCUAGGGGUAAUUUGGUAAUUUUGGUAAAAUAUAGGGGCAAAAUUGUAAAAAUAGCCCAAGUGUGUCAAUGGACUAAUUUGAUCAGUACAUUGUUUUAAUAAGUUGAAUGUGAUGUUUUAGAUGAUGAAAAUCGAGAUUUGGACCUAGAACGGAAAUAAAUCGAUUAAGGGAUAAUUACGUCUUUUUUUUACCUUUGUGGUAUUGAGGUAAGUUCGUAUGUAAACAAUACCAUGUUAUACAUGUAUUUAAAUGUUAUCCUUACAUGAAUUGUACAAAUAUUAAUGUGUAUGUGAUUAAUAGAAAUAUGAUAAGACAGAGCCUUAAUAGACGAGGAAAAAUCCCGUUUGAACAUUUGGAAUAGAAUAGGAUACGAGUGACAUGUCACUAGGAAUUAUGAGUCUAGAUGACUAGCUCGAGAGUGAGCAUUGAAAUGUCAUAAGAUAUGAGGUAGCUUUAGCUACAAUUGAGGCACUUAUGUGCAAAGGCUUUUCCGAGUAUCCAAUUAGUAUUCCAAGUGUUCAACGGGUAAUCCAAGGAAAGAGUUGAUGAUGGUCCCAAUGAGGUAAGUCAUUGGUGAGUAUGCACUUGAGUUAUGUUACGAGUUGUGCAAGUAUGUAUACUAAGCCUAUGAGAAUGCCUUGAUAUGUGAUGAUCUAUGAUGCAUAAUAUGUGUUCUUACCAUGAUGGAUGAAAUGAUGUUGUAUUAAUUUUGUGAACAAUGAUCAUGAAUGAGUAACUUAGCCUUGACAGAUUUGAGUUACUGCAGUAGUGUAACUUUGAAAAUACACUAAAAAUAGCGGAAAAUGAGUUAGAGGCAGAAUAAAAUAUGGGAUUAAAUCUUAAUGAGUCUUUUUUCACAUGAAAGAAACAGGGGAAGAAAAAUAAUUCUAUAUUGUGUGAUAUUUGAAUUCUUGUAAAACAGGGUCUGAAUGAAUUCGAGAUCCCCUGUUCUGAUUUUAUAAAUUCACCAUAAAUUGUAAAAAAAUUAUUAAGAGUCAUAUCUUACAUGAAUGGAUUCCUUAUUAAGUCUAUUUUUACGCGAAAUAAACGGCAUGGUCAUUGGAAUUCUGUACAGGGAGAAAUUCAGUUCGUAGUGUAGAGGGGUCAGAGUAGUCAUACCCCGAAACAUGGAAUACUUUAACUAAUAAACUGUACUAAAUGGCUUGACCAAAAAUUUUGAAAAUUUUAUGGAAGAAAGAUAAAUGAGUUUAAUUUCAGGUAAAAUUUAUGGAACUUAAUUCGGAGUUUCGUAGCUCCAGAUAUAAAUAAUUUAGUGACUGUUGUGCAGGAAGACAGCUUGUCUUAAACUUGAGAAUAUGUUGUAAAAAUUGAUAAAACAAGUUAAUGAGUUGCUUAUUGUUUUCAUAUGAACUUACUAAGCGGAAGCUUACCCCCUUCUUUUCCAUGUUCUCUAGGGUUUCCAGGUUUGUUCGGGUUGGAGUUCGUCGGAGAUAUUAUCACAUUGUCAAGCUAAUGUUAUUGGUGUAGUGAUUUCAAGUACUUUGAGUCUAUGGCAUGUAUAGGAGUUUAAAUAUUAGAGUAUGUGAUAUGGCUUUGACCAUAUGUGUUGGCCUAUUUUGAUUAUGGGAUUAUAAAUUCAUUUUAAUUAUUUGAGAUUUCAUGGCUCUGUUUAGUAUAGAAGUGUUAGUAAAAGUUAGGUAGCACCUCGAACCCCGUCCCGGCGUCGGAUGCGGGCGAGAGGUGUUACACUAAUAACGAGGUAAAUUUUAUAUUAGAUUUUACAAUUAUUACAUAGAUUAAAAUAUAAUUGUAUGCUAAAAAAUUAUUUAAUUAGGUGGAACCAUUCGGCCAGUUAUAUUGGAAUACCCACAUCUCUUGAAGAUAUACAGCUUCUAUUAGACCAACGGUCGGAAGCACAAGUAAGUAUUAAAAUAAAAUAUAUAUAUACAUAAUAAAAUAGUUGUUUCGUAUUUAAUAUUUAGUAUUUAGUAUUUAGUAUUACCUAUAUAACUAAUAUUUUUAUCAUGUUCAUAUAGUUUCAAUGGACACCAUACGAGGAUCCGGCAAUUCGGGCAGUAAUUCGGGAUGAAUUUUUUUAAAAUCCGAACAUUUGGCAUGUGAAGUUCCCAUUGGUCAACUAUGCUAUCGUGGAGAUGCACCAGUCAGAUAGGGUAUUGCGGCAAUUUGGAUUCCGACAACUGAUUCCCGUGGAACCUGAGGUGCUCGAUGAUGAGCACAAAGUCGACUUACGGCUAUUGAAUACGGAUUGGCCGAGACACUGGUCAGGAUAUAUCGAAAUAUGGGAAAAUCAGUAUGACUAUAUAGCUACUCGAGAAUCGAUAAUCGUUCCUAAGUUAGCAUGCGUGCCAAAAUACAUGCCAUGGUUUAGGAUCCAUGGCAAGCCAUAUUUACUAUCGGAAGAGAAGAGGCGACGGCAAAUUCCUGUGCAAAGGAAACGACGAGACCCUUUAAAUCCAAGAAGAAGGGAUGAUGACGCGGGCCCAUCAGCAGCCUUUUCAGAUUAUGCUAGGUACGUAUCCUAGCCAUUAUAUGUAUCUUAACCCUUUUAUGUUUCCUUUUUUUAGUCCUAUGGCAGGUUGAAAUGCAUGGCCCGGUUCAUCUCCGUUCCUAAUUACUCCAAGUCAACCGUCGAUCAAUAGGCCACUGUCGCAAGAGGGAUCGCACGAGGCGCCGUCGGGGAGCUCUUCUUUUUACCAUUCCCCAUCGCCUUAUGGGAUUCAAACACCUUUACCAUGGGUGAUGCAAACACCUCCGCAUUCAUUAUUCUAUCAAGGUGGGUGAUCCUCCCAACACCCACAACCAAAUCCCCUACCGGAGGAACCACAAUCCCCACUGGAGCAACCACAACCCUCGCUGGAAGCUGAACUAAAAAGGAAUUCAGCGCGUAACCGUCGACGACCCCCAUGUGACACUGAUUUCUACCGACACCAACAUUGAUUUUUUUAAUAUAUUUGUAGAAACAUUUUUAUAUAGUUUUAUAUAAUAAAAUAAAAGUUGUUUUUAAUAUUUUAAUUGUACUUUACUUUUUUUAAUUUUAUUAAAAUAAAUGUUCUUUUAAAUUAGCCAAUAUUUUUAUUAUUUUUAUGUUUAUUUUUAUAUAGUUUUAAUUAAUAAAAUAAAUUUUUUUUAAUAUUUUAAUUGUACUUUAAUUUUUUUAAUUUUAUUAAAAUAAAUAUUCUUUUAAAUUGGCCAAUAUUUUUAUUAUUUUUAUAUUUAUUUUUAUAUAGUUUUAAUUAAUAAAAUAAAAGUUGUUUUUAAUAUUUUAAUUGUACUUUACUUUUUUUAAUUUUAAUACAAUAAAUGUUCUUUUAAAUUAGCCAAUAAUUUUUAUUAAAAUAAAUGUUAUUUUGAAUACAGCAAUAUUUUUAAUAUUUUUUAUAUUUUUAAUAAAAUAUAAAUAAUGCAAAAUAAUUUUAUUACAACAACUAUCAGGUAUUCCGAUUUGGACAUGAUCGAGUUAUAUGGCUUGGGUUCCUACACCAUCCGCACAACCUCUGUUGGUUCGUUGCUUCUCAGGUAUCCAUAUUGUUACAUAUUCUAGUUGAGCAAGGUCGACCCUUUGGUUUGCGAUGCAAUUCUCUAUCCGGUAACAACUUAAACGGAGAAAGCAGUACAGGCGGCCACUUACGUUCAUCUGUGAUCGGUGGGAAUACGUGUCUCCACAUAUUGUACAUGUAUUCUAUUUUGUACACUUGGUCAACAUACGUUAUGGGAUCCAGACGGAGAUUCUGACAAGCUGCAAUUACAUGAGUGCAUGGAUAACGUAGUGCGUCAAACACUCCACAGUUGCAUGUCUUAUUUCUCAAGUGUGCACGAUAUUGCCUAGCAAUAAUACCUUGGUUCGGUCUGUCAAACUCCGUCACACGAAACCAUAGGUUGUCGCGAUCAUGACACACUAUGUGCAUGGUGUUGGCUCGUGCCUUCGCCUUGUUAAUCUCUCGCAACACCUUCGCGUACCAUACAUGGCCUCCCUGCAUUUGGCCUUUAUAACUCGCUGCUCGCUUUGAAAAUAGUGCCGCUAAACGAAAAUAUGUCUCUCAUACAACGACUGUUAUGGAAAAAUGACACGUUCCUUUUAGAACAGAAUUUAUGCAUCCAGCCAAGUUUGAGGUCAUAUGAUCAUAUCGUAGGCCGCCGUUGUAUGCUUGUGUCCACUGUUCGAAAGGUAUGUUACAAAGGUAGUCUGCGCCUUCUUCGUUAACUAAACACAAAACCGCUAACUUUUCAUGAAAACGGUCAUUACAUAUCUCAUACCCUACCAAUAUAAGUUGAUAACGAAAAUUACAUACCACUCUUCCAUUCAGAAUAAAUUGAAUAUUACAAAUAAAAUUAUAUUAAUAGAGAUUAAAUACCCAUGUUGGUUACUUACCGUCGUUCAGUUGUAUAUCGAUAUUGCCCGUAGUAGUUGGACGCAACGUGCCUUAGGCAAUACUGAUGGUGUGUGCGAUGCCAUUGGCUUCCUUGUCGCUCAAUUGUGGCUUGUAUUCUAGUGCCCCGAUCUGAUAUAAUGCAUAUAUCAGGUUAGGGCCAGACAUGCUUCCUUAACCUAGAAAGAAAGAAAUCCAGUCAUCAGCUGACUCCCCCGAUGUUAUUGCAAAUGCAAUUGGAAUGAUUCUCCCACUGCUAUCUUGUGCCACAACUAGCAAUAGUCGAUGGGUAUAUCUACCAUACAUAAAGGUACCAUCAAUUUGUACCAAUGGUUUGCAGUAUAUAAUGUGUCCCGACAUUGCUUAAAGCUCUAGAACAGAUGCUUGAACACUUGGUAUGCACAGAGCAAUUGGUCGUUGUAGUACGCAGGUGCUGUUUCAAGGUCUGUUAUGCAACCUGGGACAUAUCUCUCCAUCACCUGACACCACUGCCAUACUUCAUUAUAUGAAGCGUCCCACCUACCAUGCAUCUUUUCCAACGCCUUCUGCUUAGCUAUCCAAACCUUGCGGUAAGAGGACGUGUACUUCAAUUGGCUACAAAUAUUAGCAAUUAAAACCGUCACUGAAGUCUUCGGAUCUGCCUUCAGCGUCGGUAGUAUUAAGCUAGCUAACAUAUCUGAAUCCAUCUUGGGAUGAUCUUGUGAAACGCAUGUCAAUGAAGUAUGUUAAAUAAUGUAACAUUACGUAAUAACAGUUUUAUUCAAAAACCUUAAACACCUAAUGAUACUUUACCGCCAACACAUGUAUAUGGACCUUUGUACUUUUUAAUCUCCCACAAGUUUGUCUUUUUCCUCAAUGAGGCCAUGCUUUUUCAUGAACAUGUACCGUCUUGCACUGCACACUUGGCCUCAAACUUAUCGGAUUUGAAUUUAACCACGUUGUAGUUAACCCCGUUCAUGAUGUUAUGUUGUUUCAAUGCAGCAAGAAAACUAUCCUUAUUGGAAAACUCCCUACCAACUUCAAUUUCACCCGAAUCUAAUGACGAACUUGUACGAUCACACCUUCUGUGUGGUAGAUCUAGAAACUCCAACGCAUCAUCUUGAAAUAGAUCGACAUUAUGCAUGUAGGCUGAAGGCGAGUACGCCCUGAAUUGCGGAUCUUCUUCAUCUUCAUCUGAACCCACUUCAACAUCUUCAAGUAUUGUUGGAACAGGCUCCGGUUGAGAAAAUAAUCCAACUUCUACACCAUCGGGGCCGGGCUCUCGAGGUGGAUCCACAUUGGAUUCAUCAUUCGACCCACCAUCAUCUGCAACGAACGAGGUCCCCUCGCCGGUGGAUGUUGUAGGGAGUACAUCAUCCCUUCUUCUAUAUGUUUCAUAAUGUCCUCAAUCCGAUGUGGAUUGCCAACCACUAGAAGUUGAUGUCAUUCCCCAGUAUGUAUUUCCAGUAUCAAACAUCGACCCACUAAGGUGCAUGUCUCAUCCACAAAAGGAGUGUCGUGCAGGGGUUGUGUAUUCCAUACUGCUACCAAACACGGGCGCUUCCGUGUUUUACCACCCACUAACGUAGUGUCAGGCAGGAGUCGUGUAUUCCUCUUGAACAGCAUUAAAUUUUGAAGUCGCAAAUGCAUCAUUUGGCGAUGAAAAUUGUACAUAUAACUCAAGAUAAGGUGAUCCACUAGCAAGAUAAGUCUGCACCAUUGCCUCCAAGCUAUGAGGACUUUUGAUGUCGAAUGAGACAUAUCUCAUGGGAUCAACCGAAGUACAAAAUCAAUACUUAAUAGACAAAACUUUCAUUGGCGUCGUUCCGAAGAUUUUACGCCUAAUUCUUUUACGAAGUUCUGUCAAAUCUAUGUUCUGGUUAAAAACCAGUCGCGCUAUGCUCUUCAAUAAAAAAAACAACGCUGUUUUCAGUGUCAUAGACCUCACCAUCAUAGAAAAUAACAGCACUAAUACGUUCACUAAUCUUCAGUUUCUAUUUUACUUUAGCCUCAAUUUCUCUUGUUGUAACUUAUGCAACCUGAGAAUGAAAUCUGGCUCAUUUAUAGUCUAAGGCGUUUUCAGAUACUACUGUAGCAAAAGAGUGUCCACGUGGGAGCUUUUUUCCGUAAUUUUGCUGACAGUGCAUCAUUCUUAAAGCAUUUUUGACACUAUUUGUUCAGAAACAUCUUCUCAAAAUUAUUUUUUCAAAUACUACUGUAGCAAAAUAGCAUCCAUGUGGGAGCUUUUUCCUGUAAUUUUACUGACAGUGCAUCAUUCUUGAAGCGUUUUUGACACUAUUUAUUCAGAAACAUCUUCUCAAAAUUAUUUUUUCAGAUACUACUGUAGCAAAAGAGCGUCCACGUGGAAGCUUUUUUCCGUAAUUAAUAGUUAAUUUAAUUAAUAAACCCUAAAAAAUCCUAAACCCUAAUUUAAUUAUUUUUUAAUUUAAUAGUUAAUUUAAUUAAUUAACCCUCAAGUCUAAUUAAAUUAAUUUUUUCCUUAAAAAAUACUAAAAUCCUAAACCCUAAAAACCAUAAACCACUAAACCGUAACCUUAAAAUAAUAAAAAAACCUUAACCCUAAAACCCCUAAACCCUAAUUUAAUUGAUUUUUUUUAAUUUCAUGGUUAAUUUAAUUAAUUAACCCUCAACUCUAAUUAAAUUAAUUUUUUCCUUAGAAAACACUAAAACCAUAAACCCUAAAAACCCUAAACCACUAAACAUUAACUUUAAAACAAUCAAAAACCCUAACCUUAAAAAACCCUAAACCCUAAUUUAAUUGAUUUUUUUUAAUUUCAUAGUUAAUUUAAUUAAUUAACCCUCAACUCUAAUUAAAUUAAUUUUUCCCUUAAAAAAUACUAAAACCCUAAACCCUAAAAACACUAAACCACUAAACCCUAACCCUAAAAAAAGGGUCAAAACGCUCCCCCAAUGAAGCGUUUUGCUGACACGUCCCCUAACUUCACGCCAACGUGGACACGCUUUUGGGGAAAAUAGUCCUUUUCGGUAAAUAAUCAAAAAAUCGGGCCAUUUCGAUAAAUAACGAAAUAAAAGGGCUUUUUUUUAGUAAAUUGCCCGUGUGUGUGUUGUUUUUUUUUCCACACACACAUAUAUAUAUACUAAAUAAAAUAAAAAAAUAAUCAUAAAUAUCUUAUUAAAAUAUUAAUAAAAUAAUAUUUAUCUAAUUAAUUAAUUUAAAAUAUCAUCAACAUAAUCAUUACAUUCUAGAAUUCCCUCUCUUACUAAGUGACCAUUUUGCCCUUCAUAAUCUUUUAAAAUUCCAUCAUUGAGUCAUCACUUAAUUUGGGAAAAUUAUGAUUUAGUCCCUCAUAAUUCUUCACCUAUUCGAUUUGUUCCUAAUUCAUCUAUUUUCCUUAGUUUCUAGUUUAUUCCACCCCUAAAAUAUUUGCACUAUUGGUCCUUCAAAUUUUUCAUAUUUACACUUUAACCCCUCAAAUUUUGAGUAUUUACUCUUGGGCAACAAAACUUUUCUUACUUUUACAAUUUAGUCCUUUCUUUAAUUAAUAAUGUAAUAUAUCAUAAUAUACUUCCCAAUGUUGACAUAAUAAAAUUUCCCUUUUUGUCACUUUAUUUCCUUACUUAACUACAUCAAGGAUAAUAUCUUACUUUCUUACUGUAGUAAUUUUCAGGGUAUUACAUUUUUCUCCCCCUUAAAAAAAAAUUUGUCCUCGAAAUUUCCUUGUUUUCUUUUGAUCAUAAACUUCAUUAUAUUCUAUAGUUCCUUUCUGUAUAUAUAUCUAGUUUAUCAUUUAUAUCCAUUCUCAAUCCAUUCGUUUCACAAUUUAUUUUUAAUUCAAAGAUAAUUCCUUACCUUGUAACAAAAAUUAUUUAACUUUCUAACAGAGGCGCAGUAAAUUGAACUGAACAAUUUGGAUAUAAGGAACUGAUACAGAGGUGCAUUAUUAUGCACUAUUAAACAGAGAGUACUGAAGUGCUAUACAGAGAGCAUAGAUGUGCUAAGCGGAGAGCACUAAUGUGCUAAUAAUCAGAGAGCACUAACGUACUAAUAAUCAGAUAGCGCGCUAGAGUUCCUUAAUGUCAUGCCACUAAUAUCCUAGUAGUUCUAAAUUUCGUCUACUUCAGCAUUAAAACUGAAUUUCAUACAUUUAAAUACUUUACAAUUUAAUCCUUGUACCAAUAAUCCAUACAUUUAUAUAUUCUCUAUCUUUGAUACAUGUAAUAUAUUUCAAAAUUCACUAGUCGUUCGUAAUUUACUAAUAAUUCUCAUCAUGUACUUCAUAUAUCACUUUUCAAUUCCAAUUUCACUUUCAUUUUAUUCACAACUCAAUUUAAUUUCACUUUCUCAUCAAUAUACAAUUAAACACUAAUAUUUAUCCAUCACUCAAUUCAAUUUCCAUUCAAUUCAACAAUAACACUUACCUUCUACUUCACUUACCAUACACAUAAUUUAAAUUUAACAUUUAAUAAUAAUUAAUUUGAAUUGUAGUAAUACAACCAUACGCUGAAUAUGUCUAUAUUCAGUGGUAUUACCAUAAUUCAAAUUAUAAAAACUAUAAUAAAUAAUAGACAUCAAACAUGUAACAUUAUAAGUCAUAUGUGUUAAUUUAUGCUUUAAUUUCAUAUCUCAACAAUAGUCUUUCAUCAAAUGGCAUCAUAUAUAAUCUAUAUUAUCUUUAAUCAAAUCAUGAACCUUUGGUUCAAGCUUUCAAUCACAUAUCUCAAUUUCAAUUCACAUUUCAAUUCAUAAUUCCACUUUUUCAUACUUUCAAUAGUUCAAUCGAUCAAAUUCAUUCAAUUUUCUCAUUUCAUUUAUUCAACUGAUUUCAAUAUCAACAAUUUGAUAUUUUAGCAAAUUCAUGAACCUUAGGUUUAUGCUUCAAAUCUCACAUCUCAAUUCAAUUCACAAUUCAACUCAUAAUUUCUUUCUCAUAUUUUUAAUAGUACGAUCAAUCAAAUUUAUUUAAUUUUCUCAUUUCAGUUAUUCACCCUAUUAACAAACUUGGACUUUGACGGAUACAAGGAUUCCAAUCCAAACACACCAGUACGACACAUUGUACCGAAAAUGGUACAUAGUACCUGAUCAGUAUAGGACACAUAAGUGCAUGAAACGACACACGAGGUGCCUGAUACGACACACGAGAUGCUUGAAAUACGACACACGAGGUGCCUAAAAUAUGACACAUAAAGUGCCUGAUCGGCAAAACCGAUAAAUCCCGUACUCUUCCAAAUCCUAUGGCAUGCCAAUUAUAUCCGACUAGCCUGACAAGUUAAUAGGGUAUUCAAUUUUCAUUUGAAUUUCACUUAAUAUUCAUAUUUACCCCUAUUAACAAGACUCGGACUUUGACGGAUACACGGAUUCCAACCAAACACACCAGUACGGCACUUAGUGCCUCAUCGGCUUUGCCGAAGUAAACAGUAACAGUACAGUACUUAGUACCUUAUCGAAUUAAACCCAUGUAACAGUAGCAGUAUGACACACAUGGUGCCUCAUCGACUAGAUGUUGAAGUAACAGUACGACACUUAUAGUGCCUCAUCGACUCAAGGUCGAAGUAUCCCUGAAUACUUCCAAUCCUAUAGCAUGCCAACUAUAUUCGACUUAGCCCGGUACAGUUAAUAGGGUAUUCAAUUCACUUUCCGGUUUCCAAUCAAAACACAUUUCAAUUAAUCACAUAUAUUCUCAAUUCAAUACAAUUCAAUUUACUUUUCAAUAACAAAUAUUCUAAUUUCGUAAUAAUCACAUAUUCAUAUCAAUUUUAUCACUUUCCCAAUCAAUAAAAUUUUCAAAUAUAACAUAUAUCCAAUAUUCUAUUUCCACAUCAAUCACAUAUAUCUAUACAAAUUCAAUUCAAUAUUGAUACUUACCUUAAAAUUUUACUUACUAUACACAUAAAUUUAAAUAUAACAUUUAUUCAUACCUUUAUGAAUUCCGAGUCAUCAUAAUCAACUUUUACUCAUAUACUUGAGUAUCGCUUUCAACAUUAUCAGAAUUAGCUCGGUUAGGAAAGCAUCUCUAUCUUUAAGUAAAACAAAUCUCAUCAGAGUCGGAAGAUAUCAUAUUAUCACAGGUUAUAUAAUGACAUGUAUUUCUAGACUUCACAUAUGUUACGUUACGUCUGAGAACCGACUAAACCGUAGCUCUGAUACUAAUAAAUGUAACACCCCCUACUUGUAUCCGUCACCAGAAUAGGGUACGAGGCAUUACCGGAGUUACAAAUUUAUUUAUCAGACAUUUUAUUUCAUCUAACAUUCAUAUUUGGUACCAAUCAAAAUCAAACAUAUUACCCCCUAAACAUACUUAUUUUCCUUGUAUCAACAUAUCAAAGAUAAUCACAUAUUUACAUGUCAUGAUAAAUAUCAUUCUCUUGCCAUUUCUUCAUAAACAUAAAUCAGCUAACUCAUUAUAUCAAUAUUUCAUGUACCAUCAACUCGUAUUUCCUUAUAUCACAUAAUUAGGUUUCACAAACUUAUCUGGCUAAAUUGCAAAAAUACCAAGAUUCAGGGGUAUUUCAGUAAUUUUAUAUUUUCCUCGAUUUUUCAACCAAUCUUGAUCUAAAUUAAUAAUUUCAUUCAAUUUAUUAAUUUAGACAAUAAAAUAAUUCAUUUCACUCAGUUUGGUCAUUUUUUAUAUUUUUACAAAAUUGCCCCUAAAGUUUUACUUUUAUUCAAUUUAGUCCCCGAGCCUAAAACAUGCAAUUUAACCACUUUAAUGUAAUCCAUGCUAACUAAAUAUUCAUAUAUAUUUUCCUCCUCCUCCUCUCCAUUCCACAUCCUUAAUGUAUAUAUAAUUCUACUAUUUUCUCAUAUGCUCAUAUCAAGCUGUCCACUUGAGUCAUAGUCACUAAAUUAUUUAUAUCAUGAGCUACAGAAUUCUAAAUUAAGAACCCCUUGAUGUUUCUGAAACUAUACGCAAAUAUAUUUCUACCAUAAAAAUUUCAGAAAUUAUAAUUUAGCCAUUAAGUACAGUAAAAUCUUCAAACUUACCCCUAUUCUGCUGUUUAACAGCUUCGACCUUUCCUUUCUAAAAAUUAAUUAUCUUUUAGUAAAGAAUUUGGAUGAUGUUUCUGUUUGUUUCUCUUAAAAAUAGACUCAUUAAAGAUUUAAAAAUAUAAAUUUAAGACCCUAAUUAUUUUUCUCAAAUUUUUUUUAUGAUUUUCCAAAAUCAAAACAGAGGAACCCGAAAUUAUUCUAACAUUGUCUCAUAAAAUUUAUUAUAUCUCACAAUUUACAAUUCCAUUACUUAAACCGUUUCUUCUAUGAAAAACUAGACUCAAUAAACUUUAAUUUCAUAUUUUAUUCAACCUCUAAUUUGAUUUCCAAUUUUUUUUUUGUGAUUUUUCAAAUUUUAACUACUGCUGUUGUCCAAAACUAUUUUAGUGCAACAUAUUGAUUACCAAGUUUAUAACACCCUUAUUUCCAUUCUCUAUAAUAUUUCCCACCAUUUUCUCUUAUUUUCUUUCACUAAUAUAUCAAGAACAUAGAACCUUAUAUAAGAAAACUCUACCUUAACAUCAUUUUCAUGCUUUUGAUAUUACCUUACAUGAGAAACUCUACUUAAAAAAUAUUGAAGUCUUAAAGUUCUUACCUUGUCCUAUUGAUUUCAAUCUUUAACUUGAUUUUUCUCUCUCCUCCAACUUCUAUUUCUUGAAUCCAACUUGAUAUUUUAACUCCCCUUAGUCUCCUUAACAUUUUUCUCUCUUGGCAGCAAUGGAAAUUCUUUUGAUUUUUAGGUGAAAAUGGUGAAUUUUUUGUGGAAGGACUAAUUUGUAAAGAAAACAAAACUUUCUUUAUUCUCUUGUCUUCUAACGUAAAAUGCAUGGAAAGAUGAUGGAUGGUGUGUGUGUGUUGUUUUUUUUUCCACACACACAUAUAUAUACUAAAUAAAAUAAUAAAAUAAUCAUAAAUAUCUUAUUAAAAUAUUAAUAAAAUAAUAUUUAUCUAAUUAAUUAAUUUAAAAUAUCACCAACAUAAUCAUUACAUUCUAUAAUUCUCUCUCUUACUAAUUGACCAUUUUGCCCUUCAUAAUCUUUUAAAAUUCUAUCAUUGAGUCAUCACUUAAUUUGGAAAAAUUACGAUAUAGUCCCUCAUAAUUUUUCACCUAUUUGAUUUGGUCCUAAUUCAUCCAUUUUCCUUAGUUUCUAGAUUAUUCCACCCCUAAAAUGUUUGCACUAUUGGUCCUUCAAAUUUUUUAUAUUUACACUUUAACCCCUUAAAUUUUGAGUAUGUACUCUUGGGCAACAAAACUUUUCUUAUUUUUACAAUUUAGUCCUUUCUUUAAUUAAUAAUGUAAUAUAUCAUAAUAUACUUCCCAAUGUUGACAUAAUAAAAUUUCCCUUUUUAUCCCUUUAUUUUCUUAGUUAACUAUAUCAAAGAUAAUAUCUUAUUUUUUUAUUGUAAUAAUUUUCAGAGUAUUACAGUAAUAAAUUAUUUUUUUAGCAAAUAAAGCCUCAAAAUAAUUACAUUAUUAUUUCAGGAUUAUUAUGAAUAAACUUACUAUCAAAUCCACAGCUUCAUGCGCAACAAUCUAGGAGAGGUUUUGUUAGAGAUCCUCCAUGUGCAAGUUGUAGGCAUGUUGAAGAGUCUAUUAUUUAUGUUUUGCGAAGUUGUGCCAAUACAAGAGAAAUGUGGUAGUCCCUUUAAGGAUUUGGGGGGAAUUUCUUUAUACUCCAUUGCCAGAGUAGAUCUCGUUGAUUUAAAAAAAAUUAUUAUUUUAAAGUUUAUUUUAUAUACUAUAGAUUAAUUGAUGCAUUAUUUUUCACUUAAAAUAUAAUUUUUUAACUAAUUGAAUUUUAGCUCUAUUAACGUAUGUAUUUAUUAACUGGGAUUACAUUAAAUUUAAGAAAAAAAAGAAAAAGAAAAAAGAGAGAGGAUGUCAUUGAAGUCGGUAUAGAUAAUUACAAAAGCAUUACAAUCAUGACUUAAAGACGUGAGCUUUUAAAAUUAUAUCUAUGAGUUGAUAAGACUUAUUCAAAUAUCUAAUUUGUCGCCUUCUUCCCAUCUCCCUUAUCCAAUUAUAUUUAAUGGUUUUUCCAUUUUUAAUUCCUACAUCCCUUAGAACUAUUAAGUGUAACAUAAAAAAUUAAAUGGGUAAAAUCAUAAACCGGCCACUUGUCCGUGGGCCUCCACUCCAAGUAACGUAUCCCGGGAAAGCGACGAAAAUAAAGUGGAGGAUAAGUUAUACCGAAGCCGAGGCCAUGGGGGCCCUCCACAAUCUCGAACCCUCCUCCUUAUUCACGACGUAAUUCGACACCUUUCUCCAACAAUCGUCUCUUUGUAUGGGCCCCAUUCACAGACCAUCGGGUCCCGCUAUCCACGUGUCACUAUUCCAGUGGUACCAUGCUCUCAUGAUAGUGCCACACUGAUUUUUUAAUUUCUUUUUCGUCUUUUGACUCUUAUUUCACACCAAUAAAGCAUAUCUUCACUCGCUUUCUUUGCUUGACACGUAGGAUCAAGGACAGGUGUCGAGUAGAGAAAGCGAGUAAGGUAGAAUCAAUUAGGGGUGCCAGAGUAGUGUUGUUAAGACAUAUUUCUCAAAGUUUAAUGCAGAGCUCGGUUACAUGGCGCUGGAUUGCCCAUCCCAUUUAAAUUGCGUUAAUUUUUUAAUGUUUUCUCUUUUCCCUAAACUGCGUCAGAUCCGUGUUUGAAAAUACUAUAAAAACCCAGUUCCUCUCGUUUCUUAAAAUCCAUCAAUCUGUGUAGCCAACUUUGUACGUACAAGUGAAGUGAUCCACAAUCUUGAUACGGUAAUACGUUAGGUAGCUUUCAGCAUACUUGUUUUGAGUUUAGUGGUUGUAGAUAAAGAAAAAAUGGCUGAGGAGCAUACCAAGGUUGGUGGUGAGGAAGCAGUGGAGAGCAAGGAGCGAGGGAUGUUUGAUUUCUUGGGGAAGAAAGAAGAUGAGAAGCCUCAACCUCAAGAGGAGGUGGUCGCCACCCAGUUUGAGAAAGUCAAGAUAGAAGAGGAACAUAAGGAAGAUGAGAAGAAACACAGUCUCCUGGACAAGCUUCACCUAUCCAAUAGCAGCUCCAGCUCUGUAAUUACUUUUUUUUACUUCCUUGCUUACUAUUCAUAGUUCAAACAGUCAAAUCUUUUUCAUAUAUAUUAUAACAUGCGUUGUAUGAAUGUUCAGUCUAGUGACGAGGAAGAAGGUGAAGGCGGAGAGAAGAUGAAGAAGAAGAAAAAGGAGAAGGGAAAGAAAGAACAGGACAGUGCAGUCCCAGUGGAGAAGUGCGAUGAGGCAGCAACAGUUCACCACUCAGAGACGCCGAAAAAGAAGGGUUUCAUGGAUAAGAUCAAAGACAAACUCCCAGGACAGCAUAAGAAAGAUGAAGAGGACACCACCCAACCACCAGCUGCUGCUGCCCCAACUGAGAACGACCACCAUGAAGGAGAGACAAAAGAGAAGAAGGGAUUUUUGGUGAAAAUCAAGGAGAAAAUUCCUGGUUACCACUCCAAAACAGAGGACGAGAAGGAAAAAGAGACCACUGCUCCCCAUUAAUGAAUCAAUAUAAUGCAUUUCAAGUAAAAGAUGUGUAGAGAUUGUGUGGUUUAUCAAUUUGUUGGAACUGUCUGUUCUCUGUUUUUCUUUUUGGGGUUGCAUACAUCAUAUAAAUUUCUGCGUCUGUUUUCCUGCUUGUAAGUUAAAAAGGAAAAAAAAGAAAAAAGAAGGUAUGUAUAUUUAAUGUUUUCAAUGUCAUUAUAAUAAUUAAGAAAUGACGGUAUUAUUUCCCUUUUAUCAAGUAGGUUUGUGCACUCUUAAAUGCAAGUUUUAACAAAUAUGAAUUAUUUAAAUAUACAUUUAAUUUUUGAAUUUAACAUUUUUUUUUCUAGGUUGAUGUUACUCAAAUUUUUAUUUCAUUAACUAAAUUAGUAUUAAUUUAAUUCGCGGAAUAAAAAUUCUAACAUUAGAAAAAAAUAAAUAUAACAUAAAUUAUAAAAUGAAGGAAAAAAAAAUUUCGACCGUAGUUAAUGAAUAAUGAUCAAUGAAAGAUCAGUGAAAAGCUAAUUCAUGUAACAAAUUGUUUAUUGGUUUUUAAGCAAAAAUACAAUAAUAUUAGGUGGCAAGCUUUUAAUUGUUUGACAAUUGAUACUCUAUUUAUAUGAACAUAGAAUAUGUUCAAAUACUUUGAUCAAAAUGUUGGUAAAUUUUAUGAUUUAGCGUAAAAAUGAAAAAAAAAAUCAUUUAUGGAUCAAAAUGUUUCAAAAUGAUUACGAAUAGAAAAUAUUUAGUAUAGUGUUGAUAAAGUUUUUAAACUUCAUAAAUAAUUAUGGGUUAAGUGUUUUAUAAGUUUUAGUAAAAUAUUAAAAAAUGUAUAUAUAUUUAAAAAAUUACAAUUUUUUCAAGUCGUGAAAUAAAAAAUAUAUAUUAUCAGUAUAUCAAAUACUAAUUUAUAAAAAAAUCAAUCUCAUAAUGUUUAAAUAUCAUUCAUUUAAGUCAUGAGGUGUGGUGUGGUAAUUGCUCAUCUCAUUUCUCAAUCAUUAGGUCAAGGGUUUAAUCCUUGCUUAUAGGAAUGGAGCACAUUUUAUGGUCAAUCAUUUAUCUUUUUGGAGAGCUCUAAUAGCGAAAGAAUUAGUCAUUACUACUAGUGGUGGAUACUAUAAAAAUAUUUAUAACUUUGUAUAUAUUUAUAUAACAAACUUUUUCCCUUAAUUCAAAGGGUUAAUAGCUAAUUUGGUCCCUGUGUUAUAGUUAAAAGUCAAUUUGAUUUUUUUUAAUUCUCUUAACAAUAAUUGUAAAAGAAAAUCUUAAACUAAAAAUUAAUAGAAAAUCUAUAAAAAUAAUUGAAAAUUCAUAAUUUUUUUUAAAAUAUGGAACUAUUUAAAUAUGUAUAAAUCUAAAAAUUUCUUAAAAUUAAAACCAAAAGAUUUUUAGGGUCUGUUUGAUAGGGGAAAAUAUUUUCCGGAAUUGAUUUUCCCCAUUUUCCAGUGUUUGAUUGGAGGAAAAUAUUUUCCUUUCAGAAAAUCAACUACAAAACACGGGAAAAUGCCUUACAAUUUUUGGGAAAUUGUCUUACCGAUUCAAUCUCCGUAAGACAUUUUCCUAAAGCUCUCAGGCAUUCUUCUCCCUUCAUCCAGUAAGCUCCCUUCAUCCAUUCUUCUCCCUUCCUUCAUUCCUUCAAAUUUCUGUUAUUGAAAGCUUCAUUUUGGUUCAGAACUGGAAACCGCUGCUGGUACGUUGCAAUUCCAUUUCCAUUUUUCGACGGUUACUUCAUUUAUUUUUCAUUUCUUUUUGGCUUUUAUGCUCCGUUUAUUUUUCAUUUCUUUUUGGCUGCUACUGCCGUUGCCAUUUCUUCUUUCAAAUGAUGGGUAAGCUUCCUUCUUCUUUUAUUCUUCGUUCGGUUGUUAAUGCUGGAAGCCAUCUUUCUAAUUUCCACUCUUUCUUCUUCUUCUAACACUAUUGCUACCCACAUCGACUGCCUAAGUAAGAAACCAAUGUCCAUGCCUGUUAGAGGAAAGGGAAAAACAGACCACCGCUUCGAUAAUGUUGAUCAUGCUUUGAGUUUGUUCACUUCUUUUUGUUGUCUCUGGUUUUCUGAGAUUUUGUUUAGUUUUUAUGUUUUUUUUAAUGUGAUGGGAAAUUGGGUUGGAAUUGAAGUUGAGGGUCCUUUUGCAACUUUCAAUUCUAAAGAAGGGGAAAAAAUUGCUUGCAAGUUUUAGAUAUGGACUGACGGUAUCUUUUAGAAGUUGUUCAUGUAGGAAGUUCUUAUUUGAUGAUUCAACUGCAGUUCCCAAUUGAUCUUCUAUAGGAUUAUCCUUGGAUCAUGCUAAAGGAUAUAUCAAUCUGGGAUUUAUUUUGAUUCUAUUGGAAAUUUGUGUCUGAUAUGAUUGAUACUAUUUAAGGUUAUUAUUAGAUUUGUUCUUCCUUGUUCAUUUAGCAGCAAUAGGAAUUCUCAAUAUGAAAUGUCAUGGUUUGCUUUGUCUAUAGUAGGGGUGUAAAGGUGCUUGCAAACUACUUGAAGAAAGACUCGAACUCGGUCGAGCUAUCAAUUGAGUCAAAUUUGAGCUUUGUUAAAUAAUGGCAUGUCUGGAAAUCAUGGACUGGGUAAUGAAGUUAGUUGCUUUGUUAAUUUAUGGAUUAAUGGUUUUAUAGGAACUUAAGUUAGUUUCUUUGUUAAUUUGGGUAAUGAACUUUGUCUGGAAAUCAAGGACUGGUUAAUGAAGUUAGUUGAUUUGUAGUUUUAUUUUUGUUUUUGUAUGGUCUAAUGCAAAUCCUUUUUUAUUAUGCCAUGUCGUGGUUGAUAAUCGCGAGUUGUGUAAUUUUAUGUUGUUCUUUCUCCUCCUUCUUCAGAUUGGAAAAAUUGGGAGCCUUAAAAUGGGACAAGGUAGUGCAUGGAAAUCAAGCGUGGAGGCUUAUCACUUGCAUCUGGCUGCACGCUGGUGUUAUUCAUCUACUUGCAAACAUGUUGAGCUUGAUCUUCAUUGGAAUUCGCCUUGAACAACAAUUUGGAUUCAAUACGUUAUCCGUUCCCUUUUGUAGUGGUAGCGUACUAUCGUCUCUUUUCAUUCAACGUAGCAUUUCUGUUGCUGCCUCUGGUGCUUUAUUUGGCCUUCUUGGAUUAAUGUUGUCGGAGCUGCUGACUAAUUGGACUAUCUAUACAAAUAAGGUAAUAUUAGUUGCCUUGGGUUCCUAUCUACUUAGAAAUGCAAUGAAGGGAAACCAGAGUUAUAGGUGAUUUCUUUUUUCAUGUGGCUUGAAAAGUAAUAGAGGAUAUUGAUUUUUUACCUUAAUUUGUAGGCUACAGCUCUGAUCACACUCACGGUCAUCAUUGUCAUUAACUUAGCAAUGGGGAUUCUUCCUCACGUCGACAACUUUGCGCAUAUUGGAGGUUUCUUAACCGAUUUUCUCCUUGGGUUCGUUUUGCUGCUUCGUCCCCAAUUCGGGUGGGUGGGACGUAAACAUCUUCCUGCCGGUGCUUGUGUAACAUCUAAGCAUAAAGCAUACCAAUACCUAUUUUUGGUGAUAGCUAUGGUUUUACUCAUUGCUGGGUAAGUUCUCUCAACCCUACAUUACUAGUUUAGCAGCUCGUGUUUAUAAUUUUGGUCCCGUUUGUUUAAUCUCCUCUGUUUUCCUUUUUCGAAUGAUGACAGUUUCACAUUGGGGUUGGUAAUGCUGUUUAGAGGAGAGAAUGGACAUGACCAUUGCAGCUGGUGCCAUUACCUGAGCUGUGUUCCUACAUCAAAAUGGCACUGUGGGAACUAAGCAGACCUUUAUUACAUAUCGUUCACUGAUUCUUUUCUGGUUUCCUUUACAUUUUUUACAUUUGUUAAUUUCUUGGUGUUGUUACGUGCCUAUGUGUAUAUAUAUAUACAUACAUACAUACGUACAUGGUUAGUUUUUAGACUUCGAGUUAUUUUAUUCACUGUUGUUAUGUGAUUUGACAUUUUAUACACAACUUGGUCUAAAUAUAUAUAAUAAGCGAUUUUACUUGAAGAAAAUACGAGAAUAUCUUUCAGUUUUUCCCUAUAGUUUUAGCUAAAGGUUUUGGCUUUGCAAUAUUUACUUUCCCUGAGGUCGUAUCUAUAAUCUAACUUUGUCUCUUUGGACAUUAAAGGAUGAAAGUUUAAUUAUUAGAGAAUUAAGCUUUGCCUUUGCAAGUAAUCAAUAUUAAACAUAUAAAUACCUUGUUUGUGAUAUAUUAAAAUGGAAUUAAGUAGACAUUAAGCAUUAAGAUUCUCAAAACUAUUUAUUAUAUGUUACUCAUCAACUCACUAAUAAAUUUCACUUACCAUUUCAUUUUAGCCCAAAUAUAGAUUUAUAGGACAUAAGGAUAUGUGGAUAGAACACUGAAUCACUAGAACAAAUGUAAAAACAACUUUUCCGAAAAAUAUUUUCAAGAAAUCUGUCAAAAAGUAGAAAAUAUUUUACACAGAUUCAAUCAAACACCAGAAAAUAUUUUCCAGUAAAUCAUUUUAUAGAAAAGUAAAACAUUUUCCAGAAAUUAUUUUACGGAAAACAUUUUACUGGCAAUCAAACGGACCCUUAAUUUAAAUCCCAUGUUAAAUAUAUGUAUCACAAGAAUCAGAUUGGAUAAAAGUAGAAUCAAAUUAAUAUAAAAUUUAAAUACAAAUAAAUGUUUUAAUAAUGAAGAAGUAAAAUCAAAUCGGUAUAAUCUACAAAUAGAUGAACAUUUGGAAUUUAAUUAGAUAAAAAACUUUUAUUAAUAAAAAAUUUAUUUAUAAAUAAAUCAUUGCAAUAUGUGUAAAAAUAAUUUAAAAUAUAAAAAUUUAUUAAUAUGUAUAUAAAUUUAUUAAUAUAUGUAAAAACAACUUUUCCGGAAAAUAUUUUCAGGAAAUCUGUCAAACAGCAGAAAAUAUUUUACACAGAUUCAAUCAAACACUAGAAAAUAUUUUCCAGUAAAUCAUUUUACAGAAAAGUAAAACAUUUUCCAGAAAUCAUUUUACGGAAAACAUUUUACUGCCAAUCAAACAGACCCUUAAACUAACAUUUCUUACAAAUUUUUAUUAUAUAAAACAAUUUAAAAUUUUCAAAUUUGUUGAGUAGUAUUUUUCUCGUAUCGUAUUAAGAGAAACACAUGGGGUAUUUAUACAUGUUUCUAUUGCUACUAUUACAGCUCACAAUAGGGCCCACUAUUUUGUCUCAGUCUUUGGGCCGAUGGUACUGACAUUCCCUGUCCCUGGUGCUGGCAUUCCCCUGGGUAUCCCUUGGCUUAUCGGAUGCAUGUCUGCGAAGCACGCAGUCUUUUUUGAUCCUAAGACUGACUCCUCCAGCGAGCCUCGUACCUACUAAUCACAAGCAGGGAUUCCUAGUAGGGCUUGUGAUCCCUUUUGCUGACAUAGCUCGCGACGUCAUUCCUAUGAGGCUUACGUGAGCUCUCCUUACGAGCUUUCCGUGCGAGCUAUCUUUGCAAAAAUCUAGCAUUCCAGUGGGGUCCCCAGCAAACUAUGCCUGUAGGUGAACAUUCUUGUAACACCCUUUACUCGUACCCAAGACCGGGAUAGAGUACGGGGCAUUACCGAGAACAUACAAAGACAUUUGGGAAAUAUGGCUAUCAAAUUUCGUUCGAAAAUAAAAACAUUCAUAAUAUCCCUAAUAUGAGCUUAAGAGGCCCGAAACAUAUUUAGAAACCCAUUCAGGAACAACCCGGGUCCUUAAAAGAAUAAAAAAACCUUCACUAAAAACAGGGGCACACGUCCAUGUAACCUUCACGACAUGGCCGUGCUGAUGGCCCGUGUAUUUCACACGGCCUAAGCACCUAGGGACACGCCCGUGUCCCUUACCCGUGUGGCCAAUUUAAUUCACAAUUUCUCAUAAAUCAAGUGCAGACUUCAUACGACCAGAACACACGCCCGUGUCUAUGGUCCGUGGAGCAUACUGCCAACUUAACUAUAAACAAAAAAAUCACAUGGCCAAGGCACUCGCCCCUGUCUAUUGCCCGUGUCUUUCACACGGCCUUGACACGCCCGUAUCCUCAGCUCGUGAAGCUAUCUGUCUAAAUGGUCAUGGUCUAAAUGAAGUCGUACGGCCUUGUGCUAAAAAUAGGCUAUUUAACAAGCCUUCAAGCCAUCCAUGCCAACAAUAACCUACAUAGCAUUCUACCAUACCAAUAUCCCUAUCAACAUGGGACCAAACAACUAUAAGAAACAGUAAUUCAACUAACUACUAGAACAGUUCAAUUAACCAAGGGGGCAACAACCUUCAACAUAUGAUUCAAUAUGAAUAUUAGCCAUUAACCAUGGCCUUAUACAAAAUGAAUUAAUAACACAUUCAUGAACCAAUACUUUGGCUAAACUAAUGACAUAUACCAAGCAAAAUAAACAAAAGUCCUAUACAUGCCAUUAUACAAAAUAAAAGCUUCCAUAUACCCAAAACGGAAUUAGUUCAAUAGUGUGAUCAACGCUCCAACCGUCUUCCAAUCCUCAAGAGUCCACGAGUACUGUAAAACAGGGGAAAAUAAAAAGGGCAAGCAUUAACAUGCCUAGUAAGUUCGGAUAACGGGAAAGUAAACCUACUAGUUAUUUAGUAUAAAACCAUAAUAAGCACACAAUCCAAACAAGUAUAGGAUAGAUUUCCUAUCACAUGCACUCAACCAUUAAGUUAGUCUCAUAGCAUGACAAAAUAAUAGCACAUCUAGAUGAGCUCAUCACAUCAUUAUUCCCAAUUUACAUCUCAUGUUAGUCCUAUUGAAUUUUUUGGUUUUCCUAUGGAUAUCUCAUUUCCCAUCAGUUCAUAUAAGUGGUCAUUUUGAGUACGCAUUCCCGCGAACCUCGCAUCUUACGGCAGAAUUACCAGAUCAGACUAAAUCCCCCGUAAUACAAACUCAUAAAGUAAAUGUCGGGAUUACCAGUCCAGGUUAAAUCCCCUACAACGACAUAUACUCUAAUGAGCUCGAAUCUGAAUUACUGGUCCAGGCUAAAUUCAGAUCCUACUUCGGAUUACCCUUCCGGGCUAAAUCCUUAAUGUACACAUAUUCUUCGGGAGGCUAGAUCACUAUAGGAUCAUCCGUCUGGGCUAGAUGCUUUUCACCGUCAAUUCAUUUUCGAGAUAUUCCAUUGAAUAACCCUAUUCAUUCAACCUGGGGCAUUCUUAUACUCAUUUUACUCACUUUAUUAAAUCUCAUAAAUUAUCAUGCAAUAAACAUUUACACAAUCAAGAAUAUACAUUUUAAGUACAUUAAAAGUCUACCUUGACUUAUUAGAACUUACCUUGUGAUCGUUUCAGAUUUGAGUUUUGAUCACUCCGAAACCUUUCGUCUCCCUCAAUCGACUUCCAGAUUGUAAUGAACCGAAAGUUACGGUAUCGGAAAUUGAGUCUUGAGUACUGUUUCCGUGAAAUUAAUUCAUGAAUAUUUAUUAGAAAUAUUUAUGAAUUAUAGUUGAAUGGUUAUUUAAUGUUUAAUUAAGUGAAGUAGCUUGAAUUUAGUUUAAAGGACUAAAUUACAUAAGGUAUAAAAGUUUAAUUAUAGAUUAAAGAUUAAUAAAUGGACUAAUCUAGCAAUUAGACCCUAAGUGCCAUGUGUGUGAAUGUAUGAUAUAACAUGUGUAAUAGUUGGUAAAGAUAUUAAAUGUGUUAAAGUAGUUUUUCUUAUAGAUUAAGUUAUUUUAUUAGAAUAAUAUUAUAUUAUUAAUAUUAUUAUAUUGAAUAUAGAUUUAUGAUUAAGUUAAAAAAGAAAGAAAGAAAGAUAGAAAGAGUUACAGAGAGCAAACGUGAGAAAGAA
rnacentral:lncRNA from 1 species